GGGGUUCUACUUUAAAGUCGUGGUCGUGGACAAUUUGGGAUUUAUUAAGCCAUGUUUUGGGAAUUUUUGUAGUUGCUAGGCUGUGGUUCUAUGUGCUGAGGAGGGAGGCGCUGCUGCUCAUGUUGCUGUUGCUGGAGUCCUCACUUUAUUUGUUAAGACUAUGUAAUGACCGAAUGAUGUUAUUUGUUUGUGUCAUCCUUGACUCUUUACCUACCGCAUGUAAUCCUGCAAUCGGUACUAGUAAUGUUAUCGUUAUUAAAAACUGUUUACUCUUUUUUUAGCAAUAACCUCUGCUUAUUAGUCAAGGAGUAGUUAUCUACUUGUGAUCGUUCGCAUAUCUAGUUUGCCGUAUUACUCGGGUAUCAGGAUAUGGCAUCUGCAGUGCUUUCUGAAAUUCCCAUUCUCAGUACUGAGUGAAACUAAGAUACUGGGUUACCUGUAAAUCCUGUCAGUGUAACGUGAAAAUUUGCAUCCUCCCAGAGAUUGGGAAAGAGUAAAUAAUGGUGAAUGUUAUCCCAGUUGUUAGGACGGAGCUCAUCAGAUGCUCAUCAGAUCUGUCCCAUUCGCUUCGUAACCCCCUCCCCUUCCACAACCGUCAACUAACGGCCAGCACACCACGCCANNNNNNNNNNNNNNNNNNNNNNNNNNNNNNNNNNNNNNNNNNNNNNNNNNNNNNNNNNNNNNNNNNNNNNNNNNNNNNNNNNNNNNNNNNNNNNNNNNNNNNNNNNNNNNNNNNNNNNNNNNNNNNNNNNNNNNNNNNNNNNNNNNNNNNNNNNNNNNNNNNNNNNNNNNNNNNNNNNNNNNNNNNNNNNNNNNNNNNNNNNNNNNNNNNNNNNNNNNNNNNNNNNNNNNNNNNNNNNNNNNNNNNNNNNNUGAAUAUUUUUGCAAGUUUUAGUGCAUCUUUCUUUUUUAAAUUUUUAUCACAACAAAGAAUACAAUAUAAUAUAUAUUUAAGAGCCUUAAAUAGAAUUUUUUUGCAAGUUUUAGUGCAUCUUUCUUUUUUAAAAUUUUAUCACAACAAAGAAUACAAUAUAAUAUAUUUAAGAGCCUUAAAUAUGCAGAGCUCACACAAUAUAACAUGUAUCACACUCGAGUAGUUUCACAUAGUUUCACAAAUAGCAAAAUAUGCAAAGCUCACAUAUUAAUAAAGGUUGAACUAAUAGACAUGUCAUACAUAGCAAAUAGCAAACGGUUCCACAUAGUUUCACAAAUAGCAAAUAGCAAACUUGUCCACAUAGUUUGACAACCCCAACUAAUGCAAGUAGUUUCGCAAACAGUUUCACAAAGCCAACAAACGGUUCCACAUAGUUUCUCUCCAACUAACACAAGUAGGCUAACAAGCCAAGACCACAAUUACAUGCUUCUUCCUCUCUUGGAGGUACGGUCCUCGUUCUUCUUUGAACGAGUCUCUUCAGGCUUCUUCUCGCGCCCUCCUCGAGGAAUCGGUUUUUGGAAUGGGGAUGGACUCUGCAAAUCCUUCUUUGGCUGAUUUCUCUUCAGAAGCUGAGAUGGUUGAGUUGGUGGAGGUCCGUAAUCUUCAUCGUACUCCUCCCCAUUGCUCUCCUCCUCCUCCUCAACCAACCUAGCCGAAGAGGCAGCAUGGCUUGAUGAAGCAAUGUUACCUUGUGUGGCUGCAGGAUCAUGAGCUUCAACCGAGCCAGCACACUCAAGCAGGCCUACCAGCUUGCGACAAUGCUUGACGAACUUCUGCAGUCACAAUGAAACAAGGACAUAAUACUGAUCAGAUUUAUGAUUGCAAAUGAACAAGAACAUAGGUUAUUUCUAGGCGCCUGAAAUAUUACCUUCACCGUCUCCCUCAUGAUAUUCUCAGAAUCUCCGUUCCCUGGGGGACGACCUAGUGCAUUCGAGCCAUCGAAGAUGCAUCUGCUCAGCUCGCCGGACUGUAAAAGCAAUGAGUCACAAUGACGAAUAAAAUAAAUUACAUACAACCGCCGGUUCAAGACAGAAGAACACAACUUACCACUCUAUUGACCAGGGGUGCAAACUCCCUAAAUCCACUCAUGUCUCUGAUGCUGGCCUGGUAGGCCUCUUCCUCGGGGGCAUCCAUCUCCAGCUCUGCGAUAUCUUCUGUCGUCCACCUAGGCCUGAGACGAAGACGAUGCUUCUGGCCAUCAUCGUACCACCUCAUGUGUUGGGCGUAAUCAUCCCAGUCAAUCACUCGCCUCUCCCCAUCUUUAUGCCACCUGCGCCGGUUCCACUCUGUCACAAAAGUUUUAUGCUGCUCUCCCCAUGCUGUGAUCAACUGAUUUUUCUUCCGGCUCAUCCUACAAGGCAUAAACAACACAAAACAUCAUAAGAAGGUCAAACGCAACGAAAUCAUGGUAACGGAGAACAAUGCACUCACAAGUGGAGUUCGUGGCCACCGGUAUCGUUCGACAUGCCCGGUGGUGUAUGCUGGUAGAUCCCAAACUGCGCGGCCACGCGGUGUGGCAAGUGCCACUCAACGACGUACACACAUAGCAUGGGCACCAUGCACCGCCAAAGACCGCGAUCCUCCUCGCACAUCACGUUCAGCUCGAUGAGAAGGUACCACAGGUAGGCCCUCGCGUAUUGCUCCACCAUACCCUCAUCGGCAUUUACGGGGCAUUUCUUUCGGUUGUUCAGGAGCCAGGGCAGCGAUACACCGGAUGUCCGGUUACCUUAGCGUCGGGGUAGUCACCGAUGAGGGUGGUAACCCUCUGCUGCCAUUUUGAACAAACAUGAAACAUAUCAAGUCCAAAUAUAAAUGAAUCAUAUUCAACCGACAUGAAUCAUAUCAUUUUCAUCAAUUAUAACUUAUUCAACCAACAUUCAUCAAUUAUCAUAUAUUCAACCAAUAUAAAUGAUCAAUGCGAAUGAAUCAUAUUCAACCAACAUCUUUCAUUCAACAACCAUCACUCAUGCACUUGUUUAUUCAACAUUGCUAAAAAAUGCAUAUACAUAAUUCACCAAAAUCCAUCAUAUGACCAUUUGUUCAAAAAAUAUGCAUAUACAUAAUUCAAUCGUAUGUAGGCAACUACUUACAAUCCCUCCAACAUCAAUCAUGUGACCAUUUGUUCAAAACAAAUCUGAAUCUCCAACUAGGGUUCAUAUAAAAACUAGGGUUCGUAUAAAAACUACAUAUAAUCUCCACAACUAUUCCCUCUAAAUAUAAGUCUUUCGAGAGAUUUCAAUAUGGACUACAUACAGAGCAAAAUGAGUGAAUCUACACUCUAAACUAUGUCUAUAUACAUAUGUAUGUAGUCCAUAUUGAAAUCUCUACAAAGACUUAUAUUUAGGAACGAAGGGAGUAGUUAUUAGAGUUCAUAUUGAACCCUAUACACAUCAUAUACAAUGAACCUAAGCAAUCCUAAGAUAAAAAAGUAAGACAAUAGGGUUGUUUUGCACCAAAUAAUGCAUCGAAUUGAAAAUGUUUCGAGUAAAACUAAUUGGAGGGAUUGAUAGAGCUUACUUUUCCCGUUUCGGAGCCAUCUCGAUCCGCAAAAAUGGUGGCAAAACGAAGAAGAUCGAAGGGGGGAGUGGAGUGGAUGAGAGAGGGCUUGUGCUCUCUGUUCUUGCAGCGCUGCAUGGUUGGGGAGAAGAAGAUGGGGGCUGGUUGGUGGGUGGGCCCCACGUGCCUCCCCACGCGGGCUUAUAAGGAUUCAGCCCCUACCGCCAUGGUCUAUGACCGUAGGGUUGCAUAGCCUACUGCCGUUAGCUCUCGCGGUAGGGUGGACGGCAGGAGACGGUUUCGUUUACUUGAGGCUGACGUGGAUGAGUGGCCUACCGCCAUACCCUGUGGUGGUAGUGAAGGAAAUAUGCCCUAGAGGCAAUAAUAAAGUUAUUAUUUAUUUCCUUAUUUCAUGAUAAAUGCUUAUUAUUCAUGCUAGAAUUGUAUUAACCGGAAACUUAGUACAUGUGUGAAUACAUAGACAAACAGAGUGUCACUAGUAUGCCUCUACUUGACUAGCUCGUUAAUCAAAGAUGGUUAAGUUUCCUAGCCAUAGACAUGAGUUGUCAUUUGAUGAACGGGAUCACACCAUUAGAGAAUGAUGUGAUUGACUUGACCCAUCCAUUAGCUUAGCACGAUGAUCGUUUAGUUUGUUGCUAUUGCUUUCUUCAUGACUUAUACAUGUUCCUAUGACUUAUGCAGCUCCCGAAUACCGGAGGAACACUUUGUGUGCUAUCAAACGUCACAACGUAACUGGGUGAUUAUAAAGAUGCUCUAUAGGUGUCUCCGAUGGUGUUUGUUGAGUUGGCAUAGAUCGAGAUUAGGAUUUGUCACUCCGUGUUUCGGAGAGGUAUCUCUGGGCCCUCUCGGUAAUGCACAUCACUAUAAGCCUUGCAAGCAAUGUGACUAAUGAGUUAGUUGCGGGGUGAUGCAUUACGGAACGAGUAAAGAGACUUGCGGGUAACGAGAUUGAACUAGGUAUUGAGAUACCGACGAUCGAAUCUCGGGCAAGUAACAUACCGAUGACAAAGGGAACAACGUAUGUUGUUAUGCGGUUUGACCGAUAAAGAUCUUCGUAGAAUAUGUAGGAACCAAUAUAUAUGAGCGUCCAGGUUCCGCUAUUGGCUAUUGACCGGAGAUGAGUCUCGGUCAUGUCUACAUAGUUCUCGAACCUGUAGGGUCCGCACGCUUAACAUUCGGUGACGAUCGGUAUUAUGAGUUUAUGUGUUUUGAUGUACCGAAGGUUGUUCGGAGUCCCGGAUGUGAUCACGGACAUGACGAGGAGUCUCGAAAUGGUUGAGACAUAAAGAUUGAUAUAUUGGACAACUAUGUUUGGACUUCGGAAUGGUUCCGGGUGAAAUCGGGAUUUUACCGGAGUACCGGGAGGUUACCGGAACCCCCCGGUAAGUGUAUGGGCCUUAUUGGGCCUUAGUGGAAUAGAGGAGGAGGAAGCCUAGGUGGGGGCGCGCCCCCCCAAGCCCAAUCCGAAUUGGGUGAGGGGGCCGGCCCCCCUUUCNNNNNNNNNNNNNNNNNNNNNNNNNNNNNNNNNNNNNNNNNNNNNNNNNNNNNNNNNNNNNNNNNNNNNNNNNNNNNNNNNNNNNNNNNNNNNNNNNNNNNNNNNNNNNNNNNNNNNNNNNNNNNNNNNNNNNNNNNNNNNNNNNNNNNNNNNNNNNNNNNNNNNNNNNNNNNNNNNNNNNNNNNNNNNNNNNNNNNNNNNNNNNNNNNNNNNNNNNNNNNNNNNNNNNNNNNNNNNNNNNNNNNNNNNNNNNNNNNNNNNNNNNNNNNNNNNNNNNNNNNNNNNNNNNNNNNNNNNNNNNNNNNNNNNNNNNNNNNNNNNNNNNNNNNNNNNNNNNNNNNNNNNNNNNNNNNNNNNNNNNNNNNNNNNNNNNNNNNNNNNNNNNNNNNNNNNNNNNNNNNNNGGCACCCCAUAGACACACAAGUUGAUCAUUGAUCUCUUAGCCGUGUGCGGUGCCCCCCUCCACCAUAAUCCACCUCGGUCAUAUCGUAGCGGUGCUUAGGCGAAACCCUGCGUUGGUAACUUCAUCAUCACCGUCAUCACGCCGUCGUGCUGACGAAGCUCUCCCUCGAAACUCUACUGGAUCGUGAGUUCGUGGGACGUCGCCGAGCUGAACGUGUGCAGUCCGCGGAGGUGACGUACCUUCGGUGCUAGGAUCGGUCGAUCGUGAAGACGUACGACUACAUCAACCGCGUUAUCAUAACGCUUCCGCUUACGGUCUACGAGGGUACGUUGACAACACUCUCCCCUCUGGUUGCUAUGCAUCACCAUGAUCUUGCGUGUGCGUAGGAAAAUUUUGAAAUUACUACGUUCCCCAACAGUGGCAUCCGAGCCAGGUUUAUGCGUAGAUGUUGUAUGCACGAGUAGAACACAAGUGAGUUGUGGGCGAUACUAGUCAUACUGCUUACCAGCAUGUCAUACUUUGAUUCGGCGGUAUUGUUGGAUGAAGCGGCCCGGACCGACAUUACGCAUACGCUUAUGCGAGACUGGUUCUACCGACGUGCUUCGCACACAGGUGGCUGGCGGGUGUCAGUUUCUCCAAGUUUAGUUGAAUCGAGUGUGGCUACGCCUGGUCCUUGUUGAAGGUUAAAACAGCACAUACUUGACGAAAUAUCGUUGUGGUUUUUGAUGCGUAGGUAAGAACGGUUCUUGCUUAGCCCGUAGCAGCCACAUAAAACUUGCAACAACAAAGUAGAGGACGUCUAACUUGUUUUUGCAGGGCAUGUUGUGAUGUGAUAUCUUCAAGGAAUGAUGCUAUAUUUUAUUGUAUGAGAUGAUGAUGUUUUGUAACGGAGUUAUCGGCAACUGACAGGAGCCAUAUGGUUGUCGCUUUAUUGUAUGCAAUGCAAUCGCCCUAUAAUUGCUUUACUUUAUCACAAAGCGGUAGCGAUAGUCGUAGAAGCAAUAGUCGGCGAGACGACAAAGAUGCUACGACGGAGAUCAAUGUGUCGCGCCGGUGACGAUGGUGAUCAUGACGGUGCUUUGGAGAUGGAGAUCAAAGGAACAAGAUGAUGAUGGCCAUAUCAUAUCACUUGUAUUGAUUGCAUGUGAUGUUUAUCCUUUAUGCAUCUUAUUCUGCUUUGAUUGACGGUAGCAUUAUAAGAUGAUCUCUCACAAAAAUUCAAGGUACAAGUGUUCUCCCUGAGUAUGCACCGUUGCCAAAGUUCGUCGUGCCGAGACACCACGUGAUGAUCGGGUGUGAUAAGCUCAACGUUCUUAUACAACGGGUGUAAGCCAGUUUUGCACACGCAGAAAUACUCAGGUUAAACUUGACGAGCCUAGCAUAUGCAGAUAUGGCCUCGGAACACUGGAGACCGAAAGGUCGAGCGUGAAUCAUAUAGUAGAUAUGAUCAACAUAGUGAUGUUCACCAUUUAAAACUACUCCAUCUCACGUGAUGAUCGGACAUGGUUUAGUUGAUUCACGUGAUCAUUUAGAUGACUAGAGGGAUGUCUAUCUAAGUGGGAGUUCUUAAGUAAUAUGAUUAAUUGAACUUAUUUAUCAUGAACUUAGUCCUGGUAGUAUUAGCAUAUCUAUGUUGUAGAUCAAUAGCUCGCGUUUAGCUCCCCUGUUUUAUUUUUGAUAUGUUCCUAGAGAAAACUAAGUUGAAGAUGUUAGUAGCAAUGAUGCGGAUUGGAUCUGUGAUCUGAGGAUUAUCCUCAUUGUUGCACAGAAGAAUUAUGUCCUUGAUGCACCGCCAAGUGAUAGACCGAUUGCAGGAGCAAAUGCAGACGUUAUGAACGUUUGGCAAGAUCGAUAUGAUGACUACUUGAUAGUUUAGUACACCAUGCUUUACGGCUUAGAAUCGGGGCUUCAAAGACGUUUUUGAAACGCCACGGAGCAUAUGAGAUGUUCCAAGAGUUGGAAUUAGUAUUUCAGACUCAUGCCCAUGUCGAAAGGUAUGAGACCUUUGACAAGUACUUUGCCUACAAGAUGGAGGAGAAUAGCUCAGCCAGUGAGCAUGUGCUCAGAAUGUCUGAGUACUACAAUCACUUGAAUCAAGUGGGAGUUAAUCUUCCAGAUAAGAUAGUGAUUGACAGAGUUCUCUAGUCACUAUCACCAAGUUACUAGAACUUUGUGAUGAACUAUAAUAUGCAAGGGAUAACAGAAACGAUUCCCAAGCUCUUCUUGAUGUUGAAAUCGACGAAGGUAGAAAUCAAGAAAAACAUCAAGUGUUGAUGGUUGACAAGACCACUAGUUUCAAGAAAAGGGCAAAGGGAAGAAGGGGAACUUCAAGAAGAACGGCUAGCAAGUUGCUGCUCAAGUGAAGAAGCCCAAGUCUGGACCUAAGCCUGAGACUGAGUGCUUCUACUGCAAUGGAAAUGGUCACUGGAAGUGGAACUACCCUAGAUACUUGGCGGAUAAGAAGGAUGGCAAGGUGAACAAAGGUAUAUUUGAUAUACAUGAUAUUUAUGUGUACUUUACUAGUGUUUAUAGCAACCCCUCGGUAUUUGAUACUGGUUCAGUUGCUAAGAGUAGUAACUCGAAACGGGAGUUGCAGAAUGAACAGAAACUAGUUAAGGGUGAAGUGACGAUGUGUGUUGGAAGUAGUUCCAAGAUUGAUAUGAUCAUCAUCGCACACUCCCUAUACUUUCGGGAUUAGUGUUGAACCUAAAUAAAUGUUAUUUGGUGUUUUGCGUUGAGCAUGAAUAUGAUUUGAUCAUGUUUAUUGCAAUACGGUUAUUCAUUUAAGUUAGAGAAUAAUUGUUGUUCUAUUUACAUGAAUAAAACUUUCUAUGGUCAUACACCCAAUGAAAAUGGUUUGUUGGAUCUCGAUCGUAGUGAUACACAUAUUCAUAAUAUUGAAGCCAAAAGAUGCAAAGUUAAUAAUGAUAGUGCAACUUAUUUGUGGCACUGCCGUUUUGGUCAUAUUGGUAUAAAACGCAUGAAGAAACCCCAUGCUAAUGGGCUUUUGGAAUCACUUGAUUAUGAAUCACUUGAUGCUUGCGAACCAUGCCUCAUGGGCAAGAUGACUAAAGACUCCGUUCUCUGGAACAAUGGAGCGAGCAACUGACUUAUUGGAAAUAAUACAUACUGAUGUAUGCGGUCCGAUGAGUGUUAAGGCUCGCGGCGGGUAUCGUUAUUUUCUGACCUUCACAGAUGAUUUGAGCAGAUAUGGGAAUAUCUACUUGAUGAAACACAAGUCUGAAACAUUUGAAAAGUUCAAAGAAUUUCAGAGUGAAGUGGAGAAUCAUCGUAACAAGAAAAUAAUAGUUUCUACGAUAUGAUCGCGGAGGUAAAAUAUUUGAGUUACGAGUUUGGUCUUCAGUUAAAACAAUGUGAAAUAGUUUCACUACUCACGCCACCUGGAACACCACAGUGUAAUGGUGUGUCCGAACGUCGUAAUUGUACUUUAUUAGAUAUGGUGCGAUCUCUGAUGUCUCUUACCAAUCUACCACUAUCGUUUUGGGGUUAUGCAUUAGAGACAACUACAUUCACGUUAAAUAGGGCACCGUCUAAAUCCGUGGAGUUGACACCGUAUGAACUGUGGUUUGGCGAGAAACCUAAGCUGUCGUUUCUUAAAGUUUGGGACUGCGAUGCUUAUGUAAAAAAGUUUCAACAUGAUAAGCUCGAACCCAAAUCGGAGAAGUAAAUCUUCAUAGGAUACCCAAAAAGAAACUAUUGGGUACACCUUCUAUCACAGUUCCGAAGGCAAGAUCUUUGUUGCUAAGAAUGGAUCCUUUCCAGAGAAGGAGUUUCUCUCAAAAGAAGUGAGUGGGAGGAAAGUAGAACUUGAUGAGGUAACUGUACCUUCUCCCGAAUUGGAAAGUUGUUCAUCACAGAAAUCAGUUCCAGUGAUGCCUACACCAAUUAGUGAGGAAGUUAAUGAUGAUGAUCAUGAAACUUCAGAUCAAGUUACUACCGAACCUCGUAGGUCAACCAGAGUAAGAUCCGCACCAGAGUGGUACGGUAAUCCUGUUCUGGAGGUCAUGUUACUUGACCAUGACGAACCUACGAACUAUGAGGAAGCGAUGAUGAGCCCAGAUUCCGCGAAAUGGUUUAAGGCCAUGAAAUCUGAGAUAUGAUCCAUGUAUGAGAGAAAGUAUGGACUUUGAUUGACUUGCCUGAUGAUCGGUGAGCCAUUAAGAAUAAAUGGAUAUUCAAGAGGAAGACGGAUGUUGAUAGUAGUGUUACUAUCUACAAAGCUCGAAUUGUCGCAAAAGGUUUUCGACAAGUUCAAGGUGUUGUCUAUGAUGAGAUUUUCUCACUCGUAUCGAUGCUUAAGUCUGUCCGAAUCAUGUUAGCAAUUGCCGCAUUUUAUGAAAUCUGGCAAAUGGAUAAACAAAAUUGCAUUCCUUAAUGGAUUUAUUAAAGAAGAGUUGUAUAUGAUACAACCAGAAGGUUUUGUCAAUCCUAAAGGUGCUAACAAAGUAUGCAAGCUCCAGCGAUCCAUCUAUGGACUGGUGCAAGCAUCUCGGAGUUGGCAUAUACGCUUUGAUAAGUUGAUCAAAGCAUAUAGCUUUAUACAGACUUGCGGUGAAGCCUGUAUUUACAAGAAAGUGAGUGGGAGCACUACAGCCUUUCUGAUAAGUAUAUGUGAAUGACAUAUGGUUGAUUGGAAAAGAUGUAGAGUUUUCUGGAAAGCAUAAAGGAGUGUUUGAAAGGAGUUUUUCAACGAAAGACCUCGGUGAAGCUUCUUACACAUUGAGCAUCAAGAUCUAUAGAGAUAGAUCAAGAACGCCUGAUAAGUUUUUUCAAUGAGUACAUACCUUGACAAGUUUUUGAAGUAGUUCAAAAUGGAACAGUCAAAGAAAGAGUUCUUGCCUGUGUUGCAAGGUGUGAAGUUGAGUAAGACUCAAAACCCGACCACGACAGAAGAUAGAGAGAGAAUGAGAGUCAUUCCCUAUGCCUCAGCCAUAGGUUCUAUAAAGUAUGCCGUGCUGUGUACCAUACCUAUUGUAUACCCUGCCCUGAGUUUGGCAAGGGAGUACAAUAGUGAUCUAGGAGUAGAUCACUGGACAUUGGUCAAAAUUAUCCUUAGAGGACUAAGGAAAUAUUUCUCGGUUAUGGAGGUGAUAAAGAGUUCAUCGUAAAGAGUUACAUCGAUGCAAGCUUUGACACUGAUCUGGAUGACUCUGAGUCUUGAUCUGGAUACAUAUUGAAAGUGGGAGCAUUUGGCUAGAGUAGCUCCGUGCAGAGCAUUGUAGACAUAGAAAUUUGCAAAUUACAUACGGAUCUGAAUGUGACAGACCCGUUGACUAAACUUCUCUCACAAGAUAAACAUGAUCACACCUUAGUACUCUUCGGGUGUUAAUCACAUAGCGAUGUGAACUAGAUUAUUGACUCUAGUAAACCCUUUCGGUAUUGGUCACAUGACGAUGUGAACUAUGGGUGUUAAUCACAUGGUGAUGUGAACUAUUGGUGUUAAAUCACAUGAGGAUGUGAACUAGAUUAUUGACUCUAGUGCAAGUGGGAGACUGAAGGAAAUAUGCCCUAGAGGCAAUAAUAAAGUUAUUAUUUAUUUCCAUAUUUCAUGAUAAAAUGUUUAUUAUUCAUGCUAGAAUUGUAUUAACCGGAAACUUAGUACAUGUGUGAAUACAUAGACAAACAGAGUGUCACUAGUAUGCCUCUACUUGACUAGCUCGUUAAUCAAAGAUGGUUAAGUUUCCUAGCCAUAGACAUGAGUUGUCAUUUGAUGAACGGGAUCACAUCAUUAGAGAAUGAUGUGAUUGACUUGACCCAUCCAUUAUCUUAGCACGAUGAUCGUUUAGUUUGUUGCUAUUGCUUUCUGUUGGGAAUCGUAGCAUAAUUUUAAAAUUUUCCUACGCUCACCAAGAUGCAUCUAUGGAGUAUACUAGCAACGAGGGGAAAGGAGUGCAUCUACAUACCCUUGUAGAUCGCGAGCGGAAGCGUUCCAAUGAACGUGGAUGACGGAGUCGUACUCGCCGUGAUCCAAAUGCGUUCAACACACGUACGGUGCAGCGACGUCUCCUCCUUCUUGAUCCAGCAAGGGGGAAGGAGAGGUUGAUGGAGAUCCAGCAGCACGACGGCGUGGUGGUGGAUGUAGCGGGAUGCCGGCAGGGCUUCGCCGACCAUAUACGAGAGAGAGAGGUGUUGCAGGGGGAGAGGGAGGCGCCCAAGGCUGUAAUGCUACUGCCCUCCCUCCCCCCCUUUAUAUAGGCCCCCUGGGAGGGGGGGCGCUGGCCAGAACCCAUCUAGGGUGGGGGGGGCGGCGGCCAGGGGGGUAACUUACCCCCCAAGGCAAGUGGGAAGCCCCCCCACCCUAGGGUUCCCAACCCUAGGCGCAUGGGGGGAGGCCCAUGGGGGGGCGCCCAACCCACUAGGGGCUGGUUCCCUUCCCACUUCAGCCCACGGGGCCCUCCGGGAUAGGUGGCCCCACCCGGUGGACCCCUGGGACCCUUCCGGUGGUCCCGGUACAAUACCGGUAACCCCCGAAACUUUCCCGGUGGCCGAAACUUGACUUCCUAUAUAUAAUUCUUUACCUCCGGACCAUUCCGGAACUCCUCGUGACGUCCGGGAUCUCAUCCGGGACUCCUAACAACUUUCGGGUUUCCGCAUACACAUAUCUCUACAACCCUAGCGUCACCGAACCUUAAGUGUGUAGACCCUACGGGUUCGGGAGACAUGCAGACAUGACCGAGACGCCUCUCCGGUCAAUAACCAACAACGGGAUCUGGAUACCCAUGUUGGCUCCCACAUGUUCCACGAUGAUCUCAUCGGAUGAACCACGAUGUCGAGGAUUCAAUCAAUCCCGUAUACAAUUCCCUUUGUCAAUCGGUAUGUUACUUGCCCGAGAUUCGAUCGUCGGUAUCCCAAUACCUUGUUCAAUCUCGUUACCGGCAAGUCUCUUUACUCGUACCGUAAUGCAUGAUCCCGUGACUAACGCCUUAGUCACAUAGAGCUCAUUAUGAUGAUGCAUUACCGAGUGGGCCCAGAGAUUCCUCUCCGUCAUACGGAGUGACAAAUCCCAGUCUCGAUCCGUGCCAACCCAACAGACACUUUCGAAGAUACCCGUAGUGCACCUUUAUAGUCACCCAGUUACGUUGUGACGUUUGGCACACCCAAAGCACUCCUACGGUAUCCGGGAGUUGCACGAUCUCAUGGUCUAAGGAAAAGAUACUUGACAUUGGAAAAGCUCUAGCAAACGAAACUACACGAUCUUUUAUGCUAUGCUUAGGAUUGGGUCUUGUCCAUCACAUCAUUCUCCUAAUGAUGUGAUCCCGUUAUCAAUGACAUCCAAUGUCCAUAGUCAGGAAACCAUGACUAUCUGUUGAUCAACGAGCUAGUCAACUAGAGGCUUACUAGGGACACGUUGUGGUCUAUGUAUUCACACAUGUAUUACGAUUUCCGGACAAUACAAUUAUAGCAUGAACAAUAGACAAUUACCAUGAACAAAGAAAUAUAAUAAUAACCAUUUAUUAUUGCCUCUAGGGCAUAUUUCCAACAGUCUCCCACUUGCACUAGAGUCAAUAAUCUAGUUACAUUGUGAUGAAUCGAACACCCAUUGCGUCCUGGUGUUGAUCAUGUUUUGCCCUAGGGAGAGGUUUAGUCAACGGAUCUGCUACAUUCAGGUCCGUAUGUACUUUACAAAUAUCUAUGUCUCCAUUUUCAACACUUUCACGAAUGGAGUUGAAGCGACGCUUGAUAUGCCUAGUCUUCCUGUGAAACCUGGGCUCCUUCGCAAGUGCAAUAGCUCCAGUGUUGUCACAGAAGAGAGUCAUCGGGCCCGACGCAUUGGGAAUCACCCCUAGGUCGGUAAUGAACUCCUUCAUCCAGACCGCUUCCUGUGCUGCCUCCGAGGCUGCCAUGUACUCCGCUUCACAUGUAGAUCCCGCCACGACGCUUUGCUUGCAACUGCACCAGCUUACUGCUCCUCCAUUCAAAAUAUACACGUAUCCGGUUUGUGACUUCGAGUCAUCCAGAUCCGUGUCGAAGCUAGCGUCGACGUAACCCUUUACGACGAGCUCUUCGUCACCUCCAUAAACGAGAAACAUAUCCUUGGUCCUUUUCAGGUACUUCAGGAUAUUCUUGACCGCUGCCCAGUGUUCCAUGCCGGGAUUACUUUGGUACCUUCCUACCAAACUUACGGCAAGGUUUACAUCAGGUCUGGUACACAGCAUGGCAUAUAUAAUAGACCCUAUGGCCGAGGCAUAGGGGAUGACACUCAUCUUUUCUCUAUCUUCUGCCGUGGUCGGGCAUUGAGCCGUGCUCAAUUGCACACCUUGCAAUAUAGGCAAGAACCCCUUCUUGGACUGAUCCAUAUUGAACUUCUUCAAUAUGUUGUCAAGGUAUGUACUCUGUGAAAGACCAAUGAGGCGUCUUGAUCUAUCUCUAUAGAUCUUGAUGCCUAAUAUAUAAGCAGCUUCUCCAAGGUCCUUCAUUGAAAAACACUUAUUCAAAUAGGCCUUUAUACUUUCCAAGAAUUCUAUAUCAUUGCCCAUCAAUAGUAUGUCAUCCACAUAUAAUAUGAGAAAUGCUACAGAGCUCCCACUCACUUUCUUGUAAACACAGGCUUCUCCAUAAGUCUGUGUAAACCCAAACGCUUUGAUCAUUUCAUCAAAGCGAAUGUUCCAACUCCGAGAUGCCUGCACCAGCCCAUAGAUUGAGCGCUGGAGCUUGCAUACUUUGUUAGCAUUCUUAGGAUCGACAAAACCUUCCGGCUGCAUCAUAUACAACUCUUCCUUAAGGAAGCCAUUAAGGAAUGCCGUUUUGACGUCCAUCUGCCAUAUCUCAUAAUCAUAGUAUGCGGCAAUUGCUAACAUGAUUCGGACGGACUUCAGCUUCGCUACGGGUGAGAAAGUCUCAUCGUAGUCAACCCCUUGAACUUGUCGAUAACCCUUAGCGACAAGUCGAGCCUUAUAGAUGGUCACAUUACCAUCCGCGUCUGUCUUCUUCUUAAAGAUCCAUUUGUUUCCUAUGGCUCGCCGAUCAUCGGGCAAGUCAGUCAAAGUCCAUACUUCGUUUUCAUACAUGGAUCCUAUCUCGGAUUUCAUGGCUUCUAGCCAUUUGUCGGAAUCCGGGCCCGCCAUCGCUUCUUCAUAGUUCGAAGGUUCACCGUUGUCUAACAACAUGAUUUCCAGGACAGGGUUGCCGUACCACUCUGGUGCAUAACGUGUCCUUGUGGACCUACGAAGUUCAGUAGUAACUUGAUCCGAAGCUUCAUGAUCAUCAUCAUUAACUUCCGCGCCAGUCGGUGUAGGCACCACAGGAACAUCUUCUCACGCUGCGCUACUUUCCGGUACGGAAGGGGUGACUAUCACCUCAUCAAGUUCCACUUUCCUCCCACUCAAUUCUUUCGAGAGAAACUCCUUCUCUAGAAAGGACCCGUUCUUUGCAACGAAGAUCUUGCCUUCGGAUCUGAGGUAGAAGGUAUACCCAAUAGUUUCCUUGGGGUAUCCUAUGAAGACGCAUUUUUUCGAUUUGGGUUCGAGCUUUUCAGGUUGAAGUUUCUUGACAUAAGCAUCGCAUCCCCAAACUUUUAGAAACGACAGCUUAGGUUUCUUUCCAAACCAUAAUUCAUACGGUGUCGUCUCAACGGAUUUCGACGGUGCCCUAUUUAAAGUGAAUGCGGCAGUCUCUAAAGCAUAGCCCCAAAAUGAGAGUGGUAAAUCGGUAAGAGACAUCAUAGAUCGCACCAUAUCCAAUAGAGUGCGAUUACGACGUUCGGACACACCGUUUCUCUGAGGUGUUCCAGGCGGCGUGAGUUGUGAAACUAUUCCACAUUUCCUUAAGUGUGCACCAAACUCGUGACUUAAAUAUUCUCCACCACGAUCUGAUCGUAAGAAUUUUAUUUUCCUGUCACGUUGAUUCUCAACCUCACUCUGAAAUUCCUUGAACUUUUCAAAGGUUUCAGACUUGUGUUUCAUUAGGUAGACAUACCCAUAUCUACUUAAGUCAUCAGUGAGAGUGAGAACAUAACGAUAUCCUCCGCGAGCCUCAACACUCAUUGGACCGCACACAUCGGUAUGUAUGAUUUCCAAUAAGUUGGUUGCUCGCUCCAUUGUUCCGGAGAACGGAGUCUUGGUCAUCUUACCCAUGAGGCAUGGUUCGCACGUGUCAAAUGAUUCGUAAUCAAGAGACUCCAAAAGUCCAUCUGCAUGGAGCUUCUUCAUGCGCUUGACACCAAUGUGACCAAGGCGGCAGUUCCACAAGUAUGUGGGACUAUCGUUAUCAACUUUACAUCUUUUGGUAUUCACACUAUGAAUAUGUGUAACAUCUCAUUCGAGAUUCAUCAAAAAUAAACCAUUGACCAGCGGGGCAUGACCAUAAAACAUACCUCUCAAAUAAAUAGAACAACCAUUAUUCUCGGAUUUAAAUGAGUAGCCAUCUCGAAUUAAACGAGAUCCAGAUACAAUGUUCAUGCUCAAAGCUGGCACUAAAUAACAAUUAUUGAGGUUUAAAACUAAUCCCGUGGGUAGAUGCAGAGGUAGCGUGCCGACGGCGAUCACAUCGACCUUGGAACCAUUCCCGACGCGCAUCGUCACCUCGUCCUUCGCCAGUCUCCGUUUAUUCCGUAGUUCCUGUUUUGAGUUACAAAUAUGAGCAACCGCACCGGUAUCAAAUACCCAGGAGCUACUAUGAGUACUGGUAAGGUACACAUCAAUUACAUGUAUAUCACAUAUACCUUUGGUGUUGCCGGCCUUCUUGUCCGCUAAGUAUUUGGGGCAGUUCCGCUUCCAGUGACCACUUCCCUUGCAAUAAAAGCACUCAGUUUCAGGCUUGGGUCCAUUCUUUGGCUUCUUCCCAGUAACUGGCUUACCGGGCGCGGCAACUCCCUUGCCGUCCUUCUUGAAGUUCUUCUUACCCCUGCCCUUCUUGAACUUAGUGGUUUUAUUCACCAUCAACACUUGAUGUUCUUUUCUGAUCUCCCCCUCCGCUGAUUUCAGCAUUGAAUAUACCUCAGGAAUGGUCUUUUCCAUCCCCUGCAUAUUGUAGUUCAUCACAAAGCUCUUGUAGCUUGGUGGAAGCGACUGGAGGAUUCUGUCAAUGACUGCGUCAUCCGAGAGAUUAACUCCCAGCUGAGUCAAGCGGUUGUGCAACCCAGACAUUCUGAGUAUGUGCUCACUAACAGAACUAUUCUCCUCCAUCUUACAGUUGAAGAACUUGUCGGAGACUUCAUAUCUCUCGACCCGGGCAUGAGCUUGGAAAACCAAUUUCAGCUCCUCGAACAUCUCAUAUGCUCCAUGUUUCUCAAAACGCUUUUGGAGACCCGGUUCUAAGCUGUAAAGCAUGCCGCACUGAACGAGGGAGUAAUCAUCAGCACGUGAUUGCCAAGCGUUCAUAACGUCUUGGUUCUCAGGGAUUGGUGCUUCACCUAGCGGUGCUUCUAAGACAUAAUCUUUCUUGGCUACUAUGAGGAUGAUCCUCAGGUUCCGGACCCAGUCCGUAUAGUUGCUGCCAUCAUCUUUCAGCUUGGUUUUCUCUAGGAACGCGUUGAAAUUGAGGACAACGUUGGCCAUUAGAUCUACAAGACAUAGUGUAAAGAUUUUAGACUAAGUUCAUGAUAAUUAAGUUCAUCUAAUCAAAUUACUCAAUGAACUCCCACUCAGAUAGACAUCCCUCUAGUCAUCUAAGUGAAACAUGAUCCGAGUUAACUAGGCCGUGUCCGAUCAUCACGUGAGAUGAACUAGUCAAGAUCGGUGAACAUCUCCAUGUUGAUCGUAUCUUCUAUACGACUCAUGCUCGACCUUUCGGUCCUCCGUGUUCCGAGGCCAUGUCUGUACAUGCUAGGCUCGUCAAGUCAACCUAAGUGUAUUGCGUGUGUUCCGAGGCCAUGUCUGUACAUGCUAGGCUCGUCAACACCCGUUGUAUGCGAACGUUAGAAUCUAUCACACCCGAUCAUCACGUGGUGCUUCGAAACAACGAACCUUCGCAACGGUGCACAGUUAGGGUGAACACUUUCUUGAAAUUAUUAUAAGGGAUCAUCUUACUUACUACCGUCAUUCUAAGCAAAUAAGAUGCAAAAACAUGAUAAACAUCACAUGCAAUCAAAUAGUGACAUGAUAUGGCCAAUAUCAUUAUGCUCCUUUGAUCUCCAUCUUCGGGGCACCAUGAUCAUCUUCGUCACCGGCAUGACACCAUGAUCUCCAUCAUCAUGAUCUCCAUCAUUGUGUCUUCAUGAAGUCGUCACGCCAACGAUUACUUCUACUUCUAUGGCCAACGCGUUUAGCAACAAAGUAAAGUAAUUUACAUGGCGUUAUUCAAUGACACGCAGGUCAUGCAAAAUAAUAAAGACAACUCCUAUGGCUCCUGCCGGUUGUCAUACUCAUCGACAUGCAAGUUGUGAUUCCUAUUACAAGAAUAUGAUCAAUCUCAUACAUCACAUAUAUCAUUCAUCACAUCUUCUGGCCAUAUCACAUCACAUAACAUAUGCUGCAAAAACAAGUUAGACGUCCUCUAAUUGUUGUUGCAAGUUUUUACGUGGUUUGUAGGUUUCUAGCAAGAACGUUUCUUACCUACGUAUGACCACAACGUGAUUGCCAAUUUCUAUUUACCCUUCAUAAGGACCCUUUUCAUCGAAUCCGUUCCGACUAAAGUAGGAGAGACAGCCACCCGCUAGCCACCUUAUGCAACUAGUGCAUGUCAGUCGGUGGAACCUGUCUCACGUAAGCGUACGUGUAAGGUCGGUCCGGGCCGCUUCAUCCUACAAUGCCGCCGAAACAAGAAACGACUAGUAGCGGCAAGAAGAAUUGGCAACAUCAACGCCCACAACUUCUUUGUGUUCUACUCGUGCAUAGUAACUACGCAUAGGCCUGGCUCAUGAUGCCACUGUUGGGAAUCGUAGCAUAAUUUUAAAAUUUUCCUACGCUCACCAAGAUGCAUCUAUGGAUUAUACUAGCAACGAGGGGAAAGGAGUGCAUCUACAUACCCUUGUAGCUCGCGAGCGGAAGCGUUCCAAUGAACGUGGAUGACGGAGUCGUACUCGCCGUGAUCCAAAUCACCGAUGACCGAGUGCCGAACGGACGGCACCUCCGCGUUCAACACACGUAAGGUGCAGCGACGUCUCCUCCUUCUUGAUCCAGCAAGGGGGAAGGAGAGGUUGAUGGAGAUCCAGCAGCACGACGGCGUGGUGGUGGAUGUAGCGGGAUGCCGGCAGGGCUUCGCCGACCAUAUACGAGAGAGAGAGGUGUUGCAGGGGGAGAGGGAGGCGCCCAAGGCUGUAAUGCUACUGCCCUCCCUCCCCCCUUUAUAUAGGCCCCCUGGGAGGGGGGGGGGGCGCCGGCCAGAACCCAUCUAGGGUGGGGGGCCGGCGGCCAGGGGGGUAACUUACCCCCCAAGGCAAGUGGGAAGCCCCCCCACCCUAGGGUUCCCAACCCUAGGCGCAUGGGGGGAGGCCCAUGGGGGGGCGCCCAGCCCACUAGGGGCUGGUUCCCUUCCCACUUCAGCCCACGGGGCCCUCCGGGAUAGGUGGCCCACCCGGUGGACCCCCGGGAUCCUUCCGGUGGUCCCGGUACAAUACCGGUAACCCCCGAAACUUUCCCGGUGGCCGAAACUUGACUUCCUAUAUAUAAUUCUUUACCUCCGGACCAUUCCGGAACUCCUCGUGACGUCCGGGAUCUCAUCCGGGACUCCGAACAACUUUCGGGUUUCCGCAUACACAUAUCUCUACAACCCUAGCGUCACCGAACCUUAAGUGUGUAGACCCUACGGGUUCGGGAGACAUGCAGACAUGACCGAGACGCCUCUCCGGUCAAUAACCAACAACGGGAUCUGGAUACCCAUGUUGGCUCCCACAUGUUCCACGAUGAUCUCAUCGGAUGAACCACAAUGUCGAGGAUUCAAUCAAUCCCGUAUACAAUUCCCUUUGUCAAUCGGUAUGUUACUUGCCCGAGAUUCGAUCGUCGGUAUCCCAAUACCUUGUUCAAUCUCGUUACCGGCAAGUCUCUUUACUCGUACCAUAAUGCAUGAUCCCGUGACUAACGCGUUAGUCACAUAGAGCUCAUUAUGAUGAUGCAUUACCGAGUGGGCCCAGAGAUACCUCUCCGUCAUACGGAGUGACAAAUCCCAGUCUCGAUCCGUGCCAACCCAACAGACACUUUCGGAGAUACCCGUAGUGCACCUUUAUAGUCACCCAGUUACGUUGUGACGUUUGGCACACCCAAAGAACUCCUACGGUAUCCGGGAGUUGCACGAUCUCAUGGUCUAAGGAAAAGAUACUUGACAUUGGAAAAGCUCUAGCAAACGAAACUACACGAUCUUUUAUGCUAUGCUUAGGAUUGGGUCUUGUCCAUCACAUCAUUCUCCUAAUGAUGUGAUCCCGUUAUCAAUGACAUCCAAUGUCCAUAGUCAGGAAACCAUGACUAUCUGUUGAUCAACGAGCUAGUCAACUAGAGGCUUACUAGGGACACGUUGUGGUCUAUGUAUUCACACAUGUAUUACGAUUUCCGGACAAUACAAUUAUAGCAUGAACAAUAGACAAUUACCAUGAACAAAGAAAUAUAAUAAUAACCAUUUAUUAUUGCCUCUAGGGCAUAUUUCCAACACUUUCUUCAUGACUUAUACAUGUUCCUAUGACUAUGAGAUUAUGCAACUCCCGAAUACCGGAGGAACACUUUGUGUGCUACCAAACGUCACAACGUAACUAGGUGAUUAUAAAGGUGCUCUACAGGUGUCUCUGAUGGUGUUUGUUGAGUUGGCAUAGAUCGAGAUUAGGUUUUGUCACUCUGAUUGUCAGAGAGGUAUCUCUAGGCCCUCUCGGUAAUGCACAUCACUAUAAGCCUUGCAAGCAAUGUGACUAAUGAGUUACUUGCGGGAUGAUGUAUUACGGAACGAGUAAAGAGACUUGCCGGUAACGAGAUUGAACUAGGUAUUGAGAUACCGACGAUCGAAUCUCGGGCAAGUAACAUACCGAUGACAAAGGGAACAACGUAUGUUGUUAUGCGGUUUGACCGAUAAAGAUCUUCGUAGAAUAUGUGGGAUCCAAUAUGAGCAUUCAGGUUCCGCUAUUGGUUAUUGACCAGAGACGUGUCUCGGUCAUGUCUACAUAGUUCUCGAACCCGUAGGGUCCGCACGCUUAACGUUCGGUGACGAUCGGUAUUAUGAGUUUAUGUGAUUUGAUGUACCGAAGGUAGUUCGGAGUCCCGGAUAUGAUCACGGACAUGACGAGGAGUCUCGAAAUGGUCGAGACAUAAAGAUCGAUAUAUUGGACGACUAUAUUUGGACAUCGGAAUGGUUCCGGGUGAAAUUGGGAUUUUACGAGAGUACCGAGAGGUUACUGGAACCCCCCGGUAAGUGUAUGGGCCUUAUUGGGCCUUAGUGGAAUAGAGGAGGAGGAAGCUUAGGAGGGGGCACGGCCCCCCAAGCCCAAUCCGAAUUGGGUGAGGGGGCCGGCCCCCCUUUCCUUCCUCUCUCCCUCCUCUUUCCUACCUCUCCUACUCCAACUUGGAAGGGGGGGGGGGGGAAUCCUACUCCGGUGGGAGUAGGACUCCCCUAUGGCGCGCCCUAGAGAGGGCCGGCCCUCCCCCUCCUCUACUCCUUUAUAUACGAGGGAGGGGGCACCCCAUAGACACACAAGUUGACCAUUGAUCUCUUGCCGUGUGCGGUGCCCCCUCCACCAUAAUCCAGCUCGGUCAUAUCGUAGCGGUGCUUAGGCGAAGCCCUGCGUCAGUAACUUCAUCAUCACCGUCAUCACGCCGUCGUGCUGACGAAGCUCUCCCUCGAAGCUCUACUGGAUCGUGAGUUCGUGGGACGUCGCCGAGCUGAACGUGUGCAGUCCGCGGAGGUGCCGUACCUUCGGUGCUAGGAUCGGUCGAUCGUGAAGACGUACGACUACAUCAACCACGUUAUCAUAAUGCUUCCGCUUACGGUCUACGAGGGUACGUAGACAACACUCUCCCCUCUGGUUGCUAUGCAUCACCAUGAUCUUGCGUGUGCGUAGGAAAAUUUUGAAAUUACUACGUUCCCCAACAGGUAGCCUGUAUAUGCCUACCACCAUGGCCCCUGGCGGUAGGUGAAAGUGUCAGAUCCCGAAAUGGUUUCGAACAUGGGUCAGAUCUCGAUUUUCUUUGACAAAAGGGUCAAAACACGAAAUUUUGCCUCCCUACAACCCUCGGCUUGCUGCCCCAUGCAGAACCUCGUCGGUUGGCCGUUGUGCCGAUUCCAUCUUGGCUUGUGUUGGUUGCAGCAUCUCGGCUUGUCGCUUGCAGCUGGUUGUGGCUUGUCGUUGCAAGGUUACAACAUCCCCUAUGGCGCGGCAGUGGCUCAGGCGCUUUCUAGCAAAACUUUUCGCAGAGAAAAAGCACCAUCAUUGCGGAUUCCUAGCAAAAUCCAUUGUCAGUUCCAGCAAAAAUUGUCAUCGGUCGCAGCAAAAAGCACCAAUGUUGCGGAUCCCUAGCAAAGUCAGUCACCUGUUCCAGCAAAAAAUGUCACCGGUCGCAGCAAAAUACAUUGUCUAUCAAAACAAAAAGCAUCACCGUGAGAUUGACCUGGGCCUCUUGGGUGUUUAACCAAGCACAUGUUGAGCCCUUUAACAUAAGGAUUAAGAGUUUGACAGUGUGCCGAUCAUCACCAUUAGCCACCUGGGAUAUGAGGAGGUAAAAUAUGUUACCCAAAAUCUCAGGGUCCGCUUCCGUUGUACUUGUCCAUCGUGUUUAUCAUGAAGCUAAAUGCAAACUUGUAGCAAACAUUCUCGUCGAUGAAGCAUGCCAUUGCUUGUCAUCGAAAGCUGGUUGGUUUGGAUCCUGAGCAUUCUGGCGCAGCCGAUGUGCAUGCUACUACUCGGUUUCUCUCAGGGAAGGGUCACACGAUACGUUCAGGCUAUGGGGCAUCCCCCGAUUCGCCUUGGGAUGAUAUAUGGACGUGGAGACACAUAGGUGGUCCCGGUGUGACUCUUGGACAGGGCCUAAUUAUCCCGCUGGAUCAUCACCGUCUUCAGAUACUCCAUCCCUUGCUCGAACCUCCGCUUGUCCGGAUGCCCCUUUGGGAAUUGUGUCAUGAUCAAGGCUCCUCCCUCUACCUGCAUAUUCUUGGCCGGAGUGCGAUAGGACUCUGCGCCCGCCUGGAUCAACAACGUUCACGAGUGCCUCUUUCACCCGUCUACUUUAGGAAGGCAAAAAACACAUAUUUGACCUGUUGGCUAAAUCAAUUCACGAUCUGAACUGCUCUUGAAAAAAAUUCACAAACUGACCAUUUUGUGUGACGCCUGACAGACGGGCGCUGCACUACACUAUGCAGCGCCUUUGUCUUAGGGGCCAGGCGCGGCCCCACAUCCAACCGUGCAGCGCCUAAGCGCUAGGCGCCACACAGUAUCAUGUGCAGCGCCUAGCGCUUAGGCGCUGCACAUUGACUUAAGCCGCAUCGGGCCAGCCCUCCCCAGACAGUUCUUCCCUCCCAGGCAGUUGCUCUCUGUCAACAGAGAGCAGCGGCGGCGCCCCCUUUGAUCCCCCCACACCCCUCUCAGAUCUGGAGAUUUCAGCUGUGGAAUCGAUCUCUAAUCCCUCCUACUAGGUAAACUCCUCCGUUCCCUUUCUUUUCCUCUGUAAAUUUGUUGCCAUUUUUAGAGAUUUGUCCAAGAUUGGGCGGAACCCUUGAUUUGCUUGGUUUGGAUCUUUAUUUGUCCAAGAUUGGGUGUUGUGAUUUAGGAUGUGUAGUCAUAGUGGUACUACCCUAGUAUUGUUCAUUAGUUCAUAAUAUAUGAUUCUUGUUAGUGAAACCCUAGAUUGUUUAGUUUUUUAGAUAUAUAUGAGAUGCCUAGUUUUGUAGAUAAUUAUGAGAUGUUGAGUUUUGUAGCUAUAUAUGAGAUGUUGAGUUUUUUUAGAUAUAUAUGAGAUGUUGAGUUUAUUUGAAAUAUGAGAUGUUGAGUUUAUUUUUAGAUACAUAUGACAUAGGAGAUAUAUAUGAGAAUUUUUCAAAUUGGUAUUGUAGAUCAUUUAUUCAUUGUGUGAGAAGGAGAUGUUGAGAUUCUUGUAGAUGAAUACAUAUGAGAUGUUUAGAUGAACACAUAUGAGAUGUUUAGUGUAUACGGAUAUUUGAGAUGAACUCAUAUAUGUUUAUUGUUUGAACUUUGUAAGGAUGGUUUGCCUUCUCGAUGAUGCCUAUGACACACGACACCGGGCCUACAUGAUGCGCGAGAAGGGGAUGGUAAUAAUGAGUAAUCUAAAUAUUUUGCAAAUUUGCCUUUAGUUGAAAUUGACACGCCCUAAGAUUUGUCAUUACUUGUUUUUUGCAGAAGCUUGAACCUCUGAAGAUUCGGUAUCACGGGGUCUCUGGUGCUGCCAUGCCCGACGAUGAGCGGUACACACCCUACAUCCAGCAAGCAGGACUCCUCCCGUGGAUUCAGUUGGUCAGCUGGUCCACGCCGAACCUCAACGCUCCACUGGUGUCCUCUCUUGCUGAUCGGUGGAGGCCGGAGACGCGCAGUUUCCAUCUUCGGACCGGGAGAUGACCGUGACGCUCCAGGAUGUCUCCUUGAUCACUGGUCUUCCUAUCGACGGGAGGCCUCUCUGUAUGAGUACCGAUUCUGAUGGGUGGCGCCAGCAGAUGACUGCUCUUAUCGGUUUGGCUCCUAUCGGGGCUGAGGCUGAUGUAGAAGAGGGACAAGAGAAGAAGAAGAAGGAAAGGAAAGCAGCCGGAGCUGCUUUCACGUGGAUUCAAGCAAACUUUGCGCAUUGCCCUGUGGAUGCCACUGAUGAUGUGAUCCAGACACAUGCUUGUGUCUAUAUGUGGUACGUUAUCUCGAGGAUUUUGUUUCCUGACGCCACAAGGAAGAACGCUCCAUGGAUGUGGCUGAAGGCGUUGACCGUCUUCGAUAGCAGAUGGAGCUGGGGUUCAGCGACUCUUGCCUACUUGUACCGACAGGUAGUUGGUUUGUUUUGUUAUCAAUUCAUUUAUUCAUUAGCAAUGCAACCUUGCUGUCAAGUUAACAUUGUUUUCUUUGAUAUGCAGCUGGACGAUGCGUGUUGCAGGAUCACAAAUAGUGCAUGCAUUGGUGGUAAUCUGCUUCUACUUUCAGUAUGGAGCUGGGAGCGUCUGCCUGUUGGACGCCCGAAGAGCGUCAAGUUUAAUCCUUUGGAUGUAGAUGACGAAUUACGAUGCCCCACUUGGGCUUACAAGUGGGAUGUGGUAUCCGAGAUGACAAACGAUGUCAAUCUCAUGCACCAAAAGUACAUUGCCGAGUUGUACACAAUUAUGCCUGAGCAGGUAACGAGGACAUUACAACAGUCAUUUCUCAUGCUUGCCUGAAAACUUGUCAUCAAUGUUGCGUUGUUGUCCUAUUUCAUAGGUGGAAUGGCAGCCAUAUGGCGCCAAUGACACAGUAGGGUUCACUGACAUGUUUGUCGUCAACCCGAUGUGCUUGCGGGAUAGGGAUCUUUGGCUUAUGCGGUGCCCACUGAUAUGCAACUGGGUGGUUGAGCUUCAUUUGCCACAUCGCGUGUAUCAUCAGUUUGGUCUGUUCCAGCCUCACCCGCCGGAAUGGGUGGACACGGACAAAGCAUUUCAUAGGUAAGAGAGCAUGAACCAUAUUGACUAAGCAUCGCCACUCCUUCUUGAUUGUGCUAAUGUUUGGUUUUCUACCGUGCAGGUUGGACAGUAGAAAGCAGCGGAAGAUAAAUGACUAGGACAAGCAUCAUUCAUCGUAUGUUACCCAUUUCCAUCUUAGUGUGGAGCAAGCUCGUAACAGUGCAUACGCCCAGCUUCGUGAGCAUAGCUCACUUGCUUUCGAUAACUACAUACGAUGGUUUCUUGAAAAUGCUCGAGUUGAGAUAUGCCCGCUGGCAUACAAUGAUGAUAUUCUUGAAGAUCCCGCAAACUUUGAGGAUAUAUCGAAGCAUCAGUACAAAAAAAUGUCAGGGAAGGGGUAGGAGUCCCUGCUGUUCCGGUGAUUAACUAUGUGGUAAAGUGUUCCCUUCUUUACUUUCCCGUUGGCCGUAUUACACAUGUUUGAAUGGCUAACGUGUUACUUCGUUCUCAUCCGCAGCGCAACCAGAUCAAGAAAGCAGCCGAUGAAAGCCAGUCUAUUCUGGAGAAGACACCGGUUGGAGAAGGCAAUGAUGAAGGUCCACUACAAAAAUUCCUCAAGGUACAUAUCACACUCAGGUGUCCAUGUUACAUAUGUUGCGGAGUUGGGUAUCUUAUACACUUGUUCAUGUUACAGCGUCAGGCCAAGAAGUUAAGGCGGUUAUCGAACCUUCUUGGUUGCCGUGACCUAGAAUAUGAUGAACCAUCUGCCUCUAGGUCUGGUACACCAUCAGACCCCUUAUCUCACCAGCAGGGGGACGAUGUGACUUCCUCAUAUGCUUAUGUGGAUGAUGAGGGUGCGGUCACCCAAGAGGUAUGACUAAUCUUUUAGAUGCAAUUCUCACUUGAUUACGACGCCGGUACCAUAUUGUUUGAUUGUGUGAUAGGUUGAUGGACUUGAUGAUGACAUUACUUUGGCGGACCUCAAGUUCGGUCCGCAUACAUGUUGAAGCGUAGGCAGCCCAUAAGCCGGUUCACGCCCACCGACUUGGACAACAGAGGCAACCCAAAGGUGGUCAUAGGGAGCUCGCAGAUGGCGAGCUUGGAUGAUGAGGCGGAGGAGGAAGAGGAGGCUCCUCCUGCCAGAAGGAAGAAGAUAACCACCAGGCGUGGCCGCAGGAACACGCGCGGAAGGCAUUAAUCGUUGUCGUUUUUAUUAUGAAACUGAACUUGUCGUCGUUUCAUUAGGUUUAUGAACUUGUGAGGUUAUGUGAUAUGUUAGUGAACUCUUAGUAGUGUGCUACUUGUGUUUGCGAACUUGUCGUUGUGAAUUGUCUUAAAUGAUGUGAUGUUCAAGUUAUUACUUGUGUUUGUUCAAAUUGCUAUGAAGUUCAAGUUAUUGUAAGUGUUGUGAUGUUCAAGCGAAUUGAAAUUGCUGUCAACGACUUCUCUUUUUGCAGUUUUGCAGUUUCCAGAUGUGCAGCGCCCAGGGCUCAGGCGCUGCACUAUACUGUGUAGCGCCCAACAGUCAGGCCCUCACACAUUGCUCAAAGGCCCAAAAUGCACGGCCAAAUACUCGGACGGUCCUCCCGUUGUGAAUCAAUGUUUGGUGCCCAUGAGGCUCGACCACGUGAACCAUGCCUGGGUUUGUGGCAGCCAUAGCUAACAACAACCUAGGGAGUCGGUUGUAUAAUUCCUCCCAAUUGCCAUACAACAUCUUGAAUGUGGCUUGCUUCGCCUUCCAUGCCUUGCCGUACUUCACCUUGUAAUGAAAGAUGGCUUUCACAAGGUCAAUGACACUCUUAAUGCUCAUUGUUGGAAGUGUGGGUAUUUGGUUGAAAAACCUGUAAGCGAUGAACUCGGACUUGUGUUGUCUGUGUUCUUGGGACACAAGCUUGCCAUCCGCAUUCUUGUGUCGGCACAUAUGACUUGGUACACAACUCACUAUGCGCCAAGUGGGACCUCCUUUCCAUGGACUUGCACGCACAAUCCAUGGACAUCUUGGCACUUCACAUUUAACCGUGUAACACACAUUGACGUUCGAGUUUGCCACUCUAUGUGGACGAUAAUGCGUAACCAAGUAGUUGUCGAGCCACAUCUUCAAUUCCAAGAAGGAUUCAAACUCACAACCGUGAUAUAUCCCGUUCUUGCCGUCUUCCAAAUCAUGGUGAGAACUUGGCCUACCUCCAAGAGAUAUACAUUUGCCACCACCUACACCGGCUUCAUCCGCAAGACUAAGAUCCUUGAACAAUGGUGUCUUGUGAUCCCGCCGGAAUACCUUCUUAAAUGCUCCGACCUCCUUCGCCAUGAACCCCUCCUCAUCAACUUCUUCAUCGGGACCAUCGUCAUCCGAGUCCGAUGCAUAUGAACGGGAAAAAGGGAUGGAUUGGUCCAUUGUCUCUUGCACAUGAUAUUUGUUGAGAUCACCCACAUUGUUGUCAUGGAGAUCAACUUCGUUGUCAUCCUCCUCGUACUCAUCAUUCUCCUCUUCAAAAGCUUCAUUUUGGUUGUUUGAAAUCAGGCUCAAUGUUGGCCAAACUUGUUGCGUCAAAUGAGGUUCACUCAUUUGAUCUUGGUUCAUGGGUGAGGGAGUACUAGCAACCAACGGGGAGGGGUUCCAGUUCAAGUCCAAAUGCAAACUAGACUCAACCUUCUUGGAGGCAAAUAACUCAAGAGCCUUGUCUAGAGAUUCGGCAACCGUCUCCUUGUAUGCAACCCAGCGUUGCUCGGAGUUCACACGCAUUGUCUUCCAACAGAUGUGCAUUCCAAAACAAACAUUAUGCCUUCCCUCCAACUCAACAACGUCACUUGGGUCCAUCCAAUUUAAAUCCUUCCUCACUUGUUCCAAGACAUCCGCAUAGUUAGGACUACUCUCAAACACCAUGUCAAGCUCAUCCGGGUCCGACUCAACAUUGCCUUUCAAAAGGCCUCUUUAUCCACAUGAUGAACAUAAACACAUGUUCUUCCCAUCCCUAAAAUAAUCAAAAACACACAUAUAUCAAAUAAGUACUUAACCGAAUAUUUGCACAAAAUACAUAAGCCCUAACAUAGAUAUGAAACAAUAACCCUAACCCCAACUUAACAAUAACCACAACCCUAACCAUAGCAUAACCCUAACCCUAACCCCAACAUAACAACACACAUAACCCUAACCCUAGCAUAGUAGGAAGCCUAACCCUAGCAAAUUGGCAAAGAAACAUAACAUGUUCCAACACAAAUUUCCAAAUCAAAGCCAAAACUAGGGUUUUCCCAAACUAGCAAGAUUUGAGCAAAUGUGACAAUUCCUAGAAGAUUUCACAAAACCAUUAUCGCUUAGCUUUUGACUUUUCGGGAAUAUAUUGGCGGAUGAAUUAGUCGUUGUUGUUCUUGUUUCUUUAGUCCCCUUAGUAAUCCCUAUACCGGUCAUGUUUCUUGGAUUAUUUACAAGCGGUAUUCAAGCUCUUAUUUUUGCAACAUUAGCCGCAGCCUAUAUAGGUGAAUCCAUGGAGGGUCAUCAUUGAAUUGACUCUUUUUGGAAAUAGUAUUUUUUUUGCAGCUUAGCUCAAUCAUGCAUGGUUCCUAUGGAUGAAAAAGAGGGGGUCGGAGGAGAUUACCUUAAGGGAGGGGUUGGCUUUGAAAUCCACGGACAAAUACUCCGGAUUUGCAAGAUUNNNNNNNNNNNNNNNNNNNNNNNNNNNNNNNNNNNNNNNNNNNNNNNNNNNNNNNNNNNNNNNNNNNNNNNNNNNNNNNNNNNNNNNNNNNNNNNNNNNNNNNNNNNNNNNNNNNNNNNNNNNNNNNNNNNNNNNNNNNNNNNNNNNNNNNNNNNNNNNNNNNNNNNNNNNNNNNNNNNNNNNNNNNNNNNNNNNNNNNNNNNNNNNNNNNNNNNNNNNNNNNNNNNNNNNNNNNNNNNNNNNNNNNNNNNNNNNNNNNNNNNNNNNNNNNNNNNNNNNNNNNNNNNNNNNNNNNNNNNNNNNNNNNNNNNNNNNNNNNNNNCAGAAAGUGCAGCGCCUAAAGGACCGGGCUGCACAUUACAUGUGUGGCGCCUAGACCUUAGGCGCUGCAUAUUACAUGUGUGGUGCCUAUGCCUUAGGCGCUGCACGGCUGGAUGUGGGGCCGCGCCUGGCCCCGGGCUGCCACGCUGGCCCGGCGUGUGGCGCCCAAGAGCCUGGUGCUGCACAGUAUAGUGUGGCGCCUAGCUGUCAGGCGCCACACAAAACGGUAAGUUUAUGAUUUUUUUCAAGGACAGUUCAGAUCGUGAAUUGAUUUCACCAACAGGUCAAAUAUGUGUUUUUUGCCCUUUAGGAAGGCCUUGUCCUCUGCCGACAUGGUCUUUUCGAUGGGAUGGCAAGACCGGAAGAACUCCUCGCUGCGUCCAGGCCCGCCGCCCUCCUCUCCAAGCAUAUCUUCUCCUUGGAAACCUUGAUGAGAGCCGACAAGACUUCCACCCGGACUGCAUCUUGCUCUUCUCUUCUAGGAUCGCUCCAUCAAGCGCUUCAAUAUCCCUAUCACUGAAUUCUUACACCUCACUGCUUUCCUCUUGGCUUGGAUCUGGCGUGUCUACGAUAUAGUAGGACUGGACCGAGGUCGCCUGCCACGUGCCGAUAGGCAGCAUGGCUCGCGGUUGGCUGUCAGUCGACUCGCACAUCUCCUCGUCAUGAACAUCCAACUCCUCAUUUGCCUCGAGGAUGGUGGUGAGAUAUUCAAUGUUGGUGAUUAAGUGGGUUGUGGGUGGGCCAAAAAAUUUCGCAUGCUGCUCCUAGGCCUCACAUGACGUCAGACCUUGGAGAAGGAGCUCGUUGCGUGAAUCUGCGGUGUACUCCAGAUUGCUUAAUCGAACGAUCUGUCCUGGGGCACAGCUCUCGACUUGGCCCAAGCGGCUGGUUGAGUCGGCGACAAAGGUCAUGGCGCCGAAUGAAGAUCUAACCCGACGUGUAGAUCGUGUCGUCGUCAGCUACCAAUCCCAUCUUAGCACUGAGUUCACCAUGCGGGACCUGCAUGGCCACCACUGUCGGAGCUGAUUCCCUCAGAUCCCUAGAUAGGGUAUCCCGGUGAGGUGAGUAAAUCAGAGGGGAAACAUGAGACAUGCAUAUUUACCUAGGUUCAGGCCCUCCUUACGAGGUAAAACCCUAUUGUGAUUACGGUGUACAAAGUACAUGUAUUAGUCUUAUAUAAGAUAUCGGGGCCCCUAGAGUUACAUGAACCUAGUCGGCUAUGUUGGUGGAGGGGAGUCCGCCAUGUCUUUGGCUUCCUUAUCCUGAGCAACAAGGCUUCAAGAGUUUUCCUUCUAUAAGUCCCAUGGGCCAGCAUGACGACCCAUGGUGAAACCGGCCUUGGAGGCCUCGGGCCGGCCUACUCAGGCUGACAACCAGAGAGGUACGACACCCUUCACCGUAACACCAUCACAACCUGUGUUGAAGCCAUUGCUUGUCACGAGGCUAUGUGUUUGUUAUAGGAUCUUCAAGUGAGCGUGGGAGUGGUCACUUCAGAUUGUACUGGCAUAGUGCAGGACAUCCAUGAGGAAAAAGGAGGUCAACAUGGACUGAUCAUCAAGGAAAUUAGAGCUAUGGAAGAUGGUGCAGGGGUAACCCCCUUCCGCCAUGAACGUCAUGGGUCAAAUGUGGAUGCUCAUCCAGUUUCAGAAAAAAAAGUGGAUGCUCACAAUAUAGGAGAAAACUCUAGUUUUAUCACCAGAUAGGCAUGUCUAGUUGCUUGAGCCCCCGUGGUAUAUGUAAACUCUAUGAUUGAUUAUUAAAGCUCGGGUGUGUUAUUCUAAAAAAAUGUUUUGGAGCAUUGGUUUUUCUUUUUGCCCAGAUCUCCACGAAUGUCAUUCCAUCACGAAAAUCUGCAUGCUUGUGGAAUAUACAUGAAUGUUUGUUGCCAAAAAAAUUCAGAAUUUUUAUUUUUUUACACUUUUUUGUUACUGUUCCGAAUGGUGCAUGUGAGCUCAUGCUCACAAACUCCAUGUCCCACUCUAACAAAUCAACUCUCGGGUUGGAAAUAAUAAUUUAUAUUGAUUUCUUCUUCUGUGAAUUGAGUCUUCCAAAUGAUAGACAACUCUACAUUUGGUCUUAUAGGAAUGAUAAUAGAUGGAGCACAUCUCUUUAGAAUACUACUAGGAAAGGAGCACAUGUGUUGCAACGGGGUAAUAAAAUUAUGCUCUUCAAAUUGAGUGACCCAUAACAUAAUACCCAUAAUAUACAACCCUCGUUGUUAAUUCAAAUCAAUAAUACAGAUGUUUGUUGCACUUAAUAAUUAAACAUGCUAAUAUAAUACAUUUAAUUGAUGGACUACAUGACCCAAGCUUAUAGACCGGUUGUCAUGAACCAAAAUGAAUCAAACUGAUUAAGUGGUUGAUAUGUAUAAGGUCAAUGAAACCAUUGAGAGUGGCAACUACAAGCUCAACGCACCGUGAGGCUUAAGUUCUCUUAUUGCAGACAUGUGUAGCCAGUGCUACUAACAUCAUUAAGCCAUCAUUAUUAGGGGUAGUAGUGCAUAGUCUUCUUCAUAGGUUGUGAUUUGUGAAAUACUCUCGCAGUACAUUGUCUUGUUACACCGUCCUGUGCCGUCGUCUCGUCAAGUCCUAAUCGGGAGCAGUGUUCAGCUGAUAAGAACUCUACCAGAAAGUAAUGGCAAUCAAGCUGGCAUUGUAUCAGUGCAUGCUCAUAAAUCACACAUACAGUUGGCCUCUCCUCACAAAUAUGCAAGACACAGAAAACAUGUGUUAUCGUUAAUUGACUACUGGAUAGUUUUGAUACAAUAAAUCAGUAUAAAAAAGCACAGGCAAAUGGAGAAAAUAUGAACCUAUGGCGUUGCACUCGCUCCUCCUCACUAACCUUGGUGACUUGGCUGUCUUCAUCUAAAUUUCCCAAGAUCUUUUCUGAUGGCCCUUUUGGUGCACCAACUCAAAAUUACAAGAAAUAGGACACCCUUCUGCUUAUCGGUCUCGGAAUUGGCACAACUCCUUUGGUCAGCAUACCGAAGGAUGUCCUGAACAACAUGAAGUCCAAUAAGGGAACGUAAUGACUGAAAGUUCUUUCUCAUACAUGAGUAGAGAUGCACAAUGCCUAAACUGGAUUCAACAGGAGCAGCAAAGCAUGGAUGACGACGAGUUAGGCAGCACCUUCAAGGGCAACGGGCCAAGCCGAGCAUACUUCUGUUGGGUUACCAUGGAACAAGCGGCUCGUUUGAAUGGUUCAAAGGUGAUAUAGGUGAAGUUGCUGAAAGUGAUGACGGUAUACUAGGCAACCGCAACAGUUUCGGUAAACAACAACGUCCCACAUAGCACAGAUUUGUAGAAGGAAAAUAACUUAAUCUCUUGCUGUACAGAAUGCAAUACAGAUGCGCAGCUACCUUACAAGUGUGUAUGAGGAAGGAGAUGCGUGGUCAGCUCUGAUUGCCAUGGUUCAGUCUCCCCAACAUGGUAGCAAGGUUUCUUCUUCUUCUCCCUUCUCACUCCCACUGUUACCUGCAAAAAGUUUCAGAUACACCAUGGUUGCUUCCUCUCCUGACUGCUACAUCACAGAUCCGCACACUUUGCAAGGCCAAACUGGAGAAAGGCGCGCUCUGAUUUGGCCAGUACCCACGAGAACCCACGUAUAGGCCAGUCACAUUUGAUUAAAUUUUGCUUGGCUGUGCGCCUGAUCAAAAUUUAAGUGACGAAUCCUACUUUACAUUACACAAAGACACUUAAAUUUUCUCCCUGUUUACAAUAUGAAUAGAUGGACACCCAAUAUGAAUCAAACAGUGACGAAUCAUAUUGUAAACUCCGCAUAAGUCUGCAGGUUUUUUCUACUGUGGAUCUCCCACGCUUACAGAAGUAGUCACGGAUGUUGCAGUAGAAUUCACCUUCUGCUUCCUCCUCUUACCGGCUCUCGUCAGCGGCAGCAGGGGAGAGGCGGCUGUAGCGACGUAUCCCGGUCGGACCCGUGCGUGGAGGAGACUUGCUCGGAUACACGGCCUUGCCUGACACAGACUCCCCAUGAAUCGCCCUCCUUUUGCCACAUAAAUAGGCCUCGAGCCCUCUACGGAAGCAUCCAAUCUCGCGGUCUGCAAUCUCGCCGUUCUAUCAACUCCGCCGGACGCCGUGCUCCAUAUGCGGACAUGAUGCCGUCGUAAAAUCUCGCGGUUCUACCAACAUCGCCGGACCGCCCGUGCUCCAUCUGAGGUACGCCUGAUCUCUCGUGCCAAGCUAAAUUCGGUUCUGUCGUUUUGAAGAGCACAUGAUUUUUGCUGCGUGUCUGCACUCUGCAACCAUAGCUGCCAUCAUCAUCAUCAUCAUUACCUUGCCCGUAUACGGACAGUCUGCACUCUUUAGGCCUCAUACACACUAGAGAGUACUACUUCAUAGUGGCGGCUGGUAGUUCCAAUAUCUGGAGAAAGAACCAUGCUAUACGUACGACAAUUCACGUACGAGGAGCAGAUCAACCUGUAUAUCAGCUGGACUCUAAGUCCAGCAACGGCUGGAUGUUGCAUCGUACCAAAUCGGACAAGUCAUGUUCGUACGUGUAGUAGUUUCGCUGGAGAAAGAACCAUGCUAUACGUACGACAAUUCACGUACGAAUUAUAUCCGAUGGAGCAGAUCAACCCGUAUAUCAGUUGGACUCUAAGUCCAGCAACGGCUGGUCAUCGCUCUUUUGUAUAUUUUUAUUCUCUUUCCUUUACAGUAAAACAUACACCAUGCUCGCAUUGUUGCAUCUUGCAAUUAGUUCCAGAUUUGCUCGUGGGUGUCAUUCGAGGUCAGAGUAAUUAUUUAGGCAGUGUGCCAACUUUAGGCCCCCUCUGUUGAAAUCCAAAAAUCCAGUAGCUUAUGCAGCCUAUAAGUAGCUUCUAUUGAUUAGUAGCUGAUUUCUGUCAUAAUGAAUAGCUGGACACACCCACUAUUUACAUAUUAUUAUAAUUUCUCCCUGUUUGGUUGAACUCCAUGUUGAUUGCACCUUCGCACAAUAUAAAAUAUUAUUUUGGUUGUUAUUGCAGAAAAUGAAUGACAGCGCUGACUUGACCAUUGUUGUGGAUUUUGAUAACCGACCUUAAAAAAGCCAAAUUUUCUGAGUCGGAUGUUUUGGAGCCAUCACCUACGCCACCAACCAUCUCAACAUUAUCUUUUGGUUUUUGAAUGUUUUGAAUCGAUUACUCUGGUAUUAAAUAGAUGUUGAUCCAUUGCGAUGACCUCCGUUACCAACCAGAUCGACAUCACCUCCGGUUUCUGAAUGUAUGCAUGAAAGACAAGUUUAUUCGAUGAUGAUAAAGCAACCAGAGGAAUAUGAAGAAAUAAAAGUUGAUGAAACAUACAACUACUUCCCAAUAGGUAAUUGUUUAUGACGUGUACUUUUGUAUCUAGCGUCUUAAAUGCCUUUUUGUUAUUUAAUAUUAUUAUUUCUGUAUGUGCACGGUUAAUCCAUAUUUACACAUGGAUUUAUUCAAUAUUCUUUCAAAUUAUUUUACCUUUUGCAGAUUAUGCACUGACCAACCAUGAUGUAUGUGCUCAUAUAGCAAUGGAAACAUUUUUUGAAAAAACAAUUACUGGUGAAGAUAGAUGAAAUAUCUGUCAAAAAGCAUCGCUAGAUGAAAAAGGGGUGGCUAAACGAUGAUGUAAGUACCCUUACUUACAAGGAGAAGUCCAAUUAUUGAUAUCCACUAGUAAUGUCUUUUUCAAAAUCUUUUUACGUAAUCAACACAUAUGUAUGUUGUAUAGAGGACCAAGUACAUGUUCAAAAUGAUAGUAAAGUAUUUCAGAAUCCCUUUGUUACCGCACCGUUAAAAAGGGAGAUCAACCUUGGAAUACAUGAAGAUGGUACCUUUAUGAAAAAGAUUGUCAAAAACUUGUGAAGCAUGACAUGGUAACAUCCAUAUCCUUAAUUAAUAUGUUCUGGGUUUAAUACAUAUUUAUUAGUAAUUUUACUAAUAAUCUUGAAAAAGAUUGUCAAAAACUUAUGUGAAGCAUGACAUGGUAACAUCCAUAUCCUUAAUCAAUAUGUUCUGGGUUUAAUACAUAUUUAUUAAUAAUUUUACUAAUAAUCUUGAUUAUAGAAUGAAAACUUUCAAUAAAUAUGAACAACACACAUUGCUAUUUAACUGUUGUGAACGCGAAAAAUUGUGAGAUUAAAAUGCUAGACUCAUUGUGUUUCAGGUUAGACCGAGAUGAUCUCACUAUUACGGUUGGUUACUACAUCAUAAACUGAUCCUUCGCUUAUGUGUAUUAUUUCCGAUCACAUAUUUCAGCUACAAGGAUUACAAUAUCAAUUGGACAAUAUUAACUUGAUAAGCCACAAUUGGAAAGACUUCGAUGUUACUAAAUGGAAGAUUACAAAACAACUAUGGAAGCCAAUUCAAAAAGACAAGUAUAAAGCAACACAUAUGUUCUAUACUAUUAUAAGUAGUAUUGUGAUCUAUCUAGGGUACUCAUUUUUUUAAUUAUACAGUUCACCCCAUGGUCUAUUAUGCUUAAAUUCGUGCAAUAUUAGACCAGAUAUGCACUAUCUUAUCCGAUUACACAUGUAUAUAUCUCUUUUGUUUGAGAAAUAUAUAUAGUUGAUGAUAUGUUCAUUUUUAUGAUAUACUAAUAAUUGUUGGUGUUGCAUAGGAAAUUAUUAAUUCUUUUAGGUAUUAGUUAGCCAGCAUACUAUUAUGUUAAAAACAAACACCGUGGCAAUGACUACAAUGAUUGAACAAAGUGAUGAUGACAUUGAGGGAGAUCCUAAUGAAAUGUUGGAAAGUCCAUUUGAUAAAAUAAAAAUCAAAAGCAAUAAUCUCAUUAUCUAUGAAAAUAAAUACCAAUCACUAAUAUUUGUUCUUUCAAACACGAGCUUACAUGAGUUACUAGGUAAACUUUGUAGCUACAUCAAAUCAAUCGAUUCUAUAAAGAUUUUAUUGUAAGUUAUUUCAAAUUAGUGGUGCAAUUGACAACACACAUUAUCUUAUUUUCUUAUGAGUUUGGGACAAGGCAAAACCUUGAUUUUGUAGUCCCCAAGGUUUUGGACUUGCCCCAAACUCAUGAAAAAAAUAAGAUAAUGUUUAUGUUUGUUGUCUAUUGCACUACUAAUUUGAAAUGAAUCACUCUAAAAUAUCUAUAGAAUUGAUUGAUUUGAUGUAGCUACAAAGUCCACCUACUAACUCAUCUAAGCUCAUGUUAGAAAGAACAUAUAUUAGUGAUCUGUAUUUAUUUUCGACAAAUAAUGUGCUUAUUGCUUUUUAUGUUUUUGUAUGAUAUGGACUUUCCAACAUUUCAACAUCAUUAGGAUAUCCAUCAAUGUCAUCGCCAAUUUGUUCAAUCAUUGUAACCGUGGCUCCGGUGUUUGUUUUCCAACAUAAUAGUAUAUACUCGCUAACUUUAUACCUAAACGAAGUGAUAAUUUCCUAUGUAACACCAACAAUUAUUAGUAUAUUAUUGAACAAAUCAUAUAUGUUUAUCAAACAAAAGCGAUAUAUACAUGUAUAAUCGGACCGGAUAGUGCAUAUCCAGUCCAAUAUUCCAUGAAUUUAAGCAUUAGUAGACCACGAGAUGAACUGUAUAAUUAAAACAAAAUUAUUACACAUCAAUUAUUACGUAUAUUGGUAUAGAACACAUGUGAAGCUUUAUAUCAUAUCUUUUUGAAUUGGCUUUCGUAAUUGUUCUGUAAUAUUCUAUUUAGUAACAUCUAAGUCUUUCCAAUUAUGGCUAAUGAAGUUUUAACUUUCAAGCAUGUCCAAGUGAUAUUUUAGUUCUCAUAGCUGAAAAUUAAUUAAUGAUCAGAUUUAAUACACACAAGCGAAAUUUCAUAUAAUAAAGGAUAAUAAAUGAUGUAGUAACUAACCGUAAUAGUGAGAUCAUCUUAGUCAAACUCGUAACACAAUGAGUCGAGUACUUGAAUCUCACUCUUUUGCAUUCGCAACAGCUAAAUACCAAUGUGUGUUAUUCAUAUUUAUUGGAAGUUCAAUCUGUAAAAGACAAUCAGUUAAACUAUGAAUAACAAUGUAUGGAACACAAAACAUGAAAAUUAUGUAUAUGGAUGUUACCAUGUCAUGCUUCACAUAGUUUUUGACAAUCUUUGUCAUAAAGGUACCAUGUUCAUAUAUUUCAAGGUUGCCAUCCUGUUUUAACGGUCCGUUAACAAAAGGAUUCUCAAAAUAUACUUUACUAUCAUUCUGGACAUGCACUUGGUCUUUUAUACAAAGUUUGACCAAAUUUAUAUAUUGAAAAAAAUAUCAGCAUUGUCUACAAUGCUUAAGUUAUAUACCAAAAAGGCUUUCGCCCCGCUUUAUAAAUAAAGCAAACCGUCCAAGAGCACACAUACACGGACUAGUCCAAACACACACACCCAAGUCUCACAAGAGGAAGUACAAUAGGUUCUGCUGAGGGCACAGUUUAAGUUAUAUAGUAUGAAAUUUAAUUUCAUGAUGCAUCUAAUGAAAUUAAAUUUUAUCUAAUAAACAUAUGCAUUUUGUAACGUAAAUGUUGAUUUUUUUCCCUAUAAAGUUGUUCAAAAUUUCCAAAGUUUGACUUCAGACAAAUUUUAUAUGGAAACUAAAAGGAAACCGAAGGAGUACCAAUGAUGAUGAGAAUAAAUGAUGUUUAUUUUUUUAAAUAGAACCUAGCGGAGAGCCUGUCCGGCCGCAGAUCACCAUGUUAGGUUGAUCUCUCUCCCGUUCGAACCCAACGGGUCGAACGGGCCCUUGACUCGCGCCCUGAUCGGGGGCGUCCAACCAAACCAUGGUUGGUGGGCCCUGUGACCCGCGCUAUAUAAACAGAGGUGGGGGCCGGGGCACGACUUACGAGGUUAAUCGCUGCCACAAUCCCCACCUACAAUCCCUACCGAUCUAGGGUUAGCGCGGUGCUCACGGGAAGUUCCACCACCUCGCCCACUCUCCGCCAUCGCCGUGCGCCCCAGCACCACGAUGGCCUCCGGCUCAAGUUCAUCCACUGCCGGACAAGGUAGGUUCACCGGAUCUACUAGCCUACUCCGAUCCAAAGAAUCUAUCAAUGGUAUCAGCCAGAUCGGGCUAGUUGAUUUCGGUACAAAGAAACAAACACAGAAAAAGUCUCUGAAAAUGCAAAAAGAAUUUUUUUAGAAAAUAAAUGUUCAUGAAUUUUAUAAAGAAAAUUAAUAAAGUUCAUGAUUUUAUAUUCGGUCAUAGAAAAGUUUCUGUAAAAAGUAAAAAGUUCGUGAAUUUUUAUUCAUGUUUUUCCGCUGCGUAAAUAAUUAAUGCUCUUUUACAAAGAAAAUAAAAGUUUACAUAGUAUUAAGUUUUUAAGAGCAUGUUAAAGUGAUUAUUAAAAUGAAUAUGAUUAUGUUAUUUUUAUGACCAACGUUGUUAAUAACAUGAUCAUGUUUUAUUAUUGAAAUUUAAAGGUGCAUUUAUUUCUAAUUUUUGCCCAAUGGUAAUAUAGAUUUAAUUGCAUAGACAAUUAUAUGUUUAAUUUGACCAACGUUAGAUUAAUGCAUAUUAUUGUUAUAUUGAUGUCACUUAAAUUGUGAUUUCAGGAGGCUUUCACUUGAUGAGUUGCCUAAAAGAAGUUCCGACACUCAGAGGUGACAACCACACUGAGUGGAGGAAGAAAGUUGAACUGGCGUUUGUUUGUGCUGAUCUUGACUGGGUUGUGGAGAAACCACAGCCGGUCAGACCCACAGAGCCAGUAAGAGAGGCCACUGAUGAUGAUGCUGCAUGGGCUAAAAAGAAAGGGGACUAUGCUCCUUUGGAGCAGUCCUACCUCAUAGAUAAUCAAAAGUGGGUCAAUGCAAAUAAAAAAUGCAUGGCCUUUAUAAAGAACACCAUUGAGAGCGCCAUUGUGGGCUCCAUUGCAGAGUGCACUUCCGCAGGGGAGUUGCUCUCAAAGAUAAAGAACCAGUUCACUGGCUCUUCAAAGAUAUAUGCCACCCAGGUGUUAGAGCAACUGGUGACAGAAAAAUACACAGGUGGUAGUCAUGGCAUAAGAGAGCACAUCCUCAGGAUGAGCAAUAUGGCAGCAAAGCUUAAGCCCAUGGAUGCGGAUCUGGAGAUCAAACCAGCGCUCCUGGUCCACCUUGUCAUGGCUUCACUACCCAAGGAGUUUGAAGCUUUUGUUGUGAACUAUAAUAUGUCACCUGGAACAUGGGACGUUGAAAAGACAAUAGCAAUGUGUGUUCAAGAAGAGGAGAGACUCAAAGCCUCACAUGGUGGUACACUCAACUAUGUGCAGGGUCACAAAAGAAAGAAUUACAAUCAAAACAACAAAAGUUCUCCUUCAAAGCCACAAGGAAAAGUUACCUAUCAGCAUCAGCGUCAGCAACAGCCUUUCUCAGUGGACAAAGACACUUGUCUCCACUGUAAGAAGACCGGGCAUUACAAGAAAGACUGUCCUGUUUGGCUAAAGUCGAUCAUGGCAAAAAGAGGUAACAAUAUAGUUUCAUUUGUAAAUGAAUCCCUGUAUGCACAGUUUUCAAAAUCCACUUGGUGGAUUGACUCAGGAGCAACUGUUCAUGUUGCAAAUUCUUUACAGGGAUUCCAUUCGACGCGGACUACACUAAAAAGCGAAAGACGCAUUGAAGUGGCGAACGGAGUUGAAGCAGAAGUUGAAGCUGUCGGUGAUAUCUCCUUGGAGUUAGCUGAUGGAUUCAAUCUUCUACUUAGAGAUGUUUUAUUUGUUCCAUCAUGUCAUAGAAACUUAAUAAGUGUUUCUUGCUUGGACAAAGAUAAUUAUGAGUGUUAUUUUGGACAUGGCAAGUGUGCCAUUUGGUUAAAUAAUGCUUAUGUGGGUGAUGCUUUACUACAUGAUGAGCUUUAUUUGUUAUCACUUCGUGAAAAAGUUUAUUCCGUUUGCAAUGUGAAAGAACAUGUUUUUGCGUCGAAUAAAGAACAAAAGAAAAGAAAAAGAACAUUUGACUCAUCGAAAUUAUGGCACUGUCGCUUGGGCCAUAUUUCGAAGGGGAGAAUAGAAAGAUUAGUCAAAAGUGAAAUUCUUCCUCCGUUAGAAUUUUCAGACUUAGAACAAUGCAUAGAUUGCAUUAAAGGAAAGUACGUAAAACAAAUCAAAAAAGGUGCAAUCCAUAGCACAGGCACACUAGAAAUCAUUCACACUGAUAUUUGUGGACCAUUUCCGGUGAAAAGUGUGGAUGGAUAUGACUCGUUCAUAACAUUCACAGAUGAUUACUCUCGCUAUGGUUAUAUUUAUCCAAUCAAAGAAAGAUCGGAAGCGUUGGAUAAAUUUAAAAUAUUCAAAGCUGAAGUUGAAAAUCAGCACGAUAAAAUAAUAAAGAUAGUAAGGUCCGACCGUGGGGGAGAGUACUACGGUCGACACACUCCAUAUGGCCAAGUCCCUGGACCUUUUGCGAAGUUCUUGCAGGAGACUGGCAUAGUAGCCCAGUAUUCAAUGCCGGGCGAGCCUCAGCAAAAUGGAGUAGCUGAAAGGCGCAACCGUACCCUUAUGGAUAUGGUGCGCAGCAUGAUGAGUUAUUCCAACUUGCCAUUGGGAUUAUGGAUGGAGGCGCUUAAAACCGCCAUUCACAUUCUCAAUAGAGUACCAAGAAAGUCGGUGCCCAAAACACCGUACGAGCUAUGGACAGGAAGGAUGCCCUCCCUACAACACUUCAGGGUGUGGGGGUGCCCUGCUGAGGCCAAAAUGUUUAAUCCAAACAUUGCAAAGUUAGAUCCCAAAACAUUAAGUUGCCACUUCAUUGGCUAUCCAGACAGAUCAAAAGGUUUUCGUUUCUACUGCCCUGACAGAUAUACAAAGUUUGUAGAAACGAGGCAUGCAGUCUUCUUAGAGGACGAAAUGAUGAGGGGGAGCUUGGUAGCUCGGAAAAUUGAUCUUGAGGAGAAGAGGGUGCAUGCACCUAAUCCGAUGAUUCAGGAGCCAUUUUUCUCACUACCAGUUGCAACUCCACCCAUGACAGCUAUGGGGGAAGACCCGAAACCUGUCCGUCAGGAGCCGACUGAACCCGUUGUUGAGCAUGAAAGGGAGGUGCAAUAGCAAAUUUUAGAAGAAGUGCUAGAAGUUGAGGCACAAAAUGUGCCAGAAACUGAGGCCCUUAGAAGGUCUACAAGACCAAGGAAGUCAGCUAUUUCUACCGACUUUAAAGUUUAUAACAGAGAAAUGGUUCAUAUGGAAAAAGAUCCCACCUCAUAUGAAGAAGCCAUGAGAAGCCCUCAUUCAUCGAAGUGGAUGAAGGCAAUGGAAGACGAGAUGAAAUCGAUGAGUUCCAAAGAUGUUUGGGACUUAGAGGAAAUUCCCAAAGGAGCCAAAACAGUAGGCUAUAAAUGGGUCUACAAAAUUAAGUAUGACUCUAAAGGGAAUAUAGAAAAGUAUAAAGCACGACUCGUGGCAAAAGGAUUUACACAAAGAGAAGGGAUAGAUUACAAUGAGACAUUUUCUCCAGUCUCAUGUAAGGAUUCCUUCAGAAUCAUAAUGGCAUUAGUUGCUCAUUUUGAUUUAGAGUUACAUCAAAUGGAUGUUAAGACGACAUUUCUGAAUGGUGAUUUAAAAGAAAAGGUCUACAUGAAACAACCCAAGGGUUUUAUCAUGGAAGGCAAGGAAAAUAUGGGAUGCCGCCUAAAGAAAUCCAUUUACGGAUUAAGACAAGCCUCUCGGCAGUGGUAUCUAAAGUUUAAUCAAACGAUUAAAAGUUUUGGAUUUAAAGAAAAUAUUGAGGAUAAUUGCAUUUAUGCAAUGUUUAAAAAUGGGAAAUAUAUUUUCCUAAUCUUGUAUGUGGAUGAUAUCCUGCUUGCUAGUAGUGAUGUUAGUCUACUACAAGAAACAAAGAAAUACUUAUCCUCAAAUUUUGACAUAACAGAUCUUGGUGAAGCAUCAUAUGUUUUGGGCAUAGAAAUUCACCGAGAUAGGAACAAUGGAGUCUUAGGACUAUCUCAACAAGCAUAUUUAGAAAAGGUUCUUAAAAAGUAUAAUAUGCAUGCGAGUAAAGCCACACCUGCUCCAAUAGUCAAGGGCGAUAGUUUUGGGAAAUUCCAAUGUCCCAAGAACCAGUAUGAGAUCGAUCAAAUGAAAGCAGUACCAUAUGCUUCGGCAGUUGGCAGCUUACAGUAUGCACAAGUGUGAACUCGCCCUGACUUAGCUUUUAUCACCGGGGUACUCGGUAGAUAUCAAGAGAAUCCAGGCCUAGAGCACUGGAAGAUGGUAAAGAAAGCAUUGCGUUAUGCGCAAGGCACGAAGGACUACAUGCUAAUAUACAGGAGAAGUGAUUCCCUAGAGAUAAAAGGGUAUUCAGACGCAGAUUUUGCGGGGGACAUAGAUGAUAGAAAAUCCACGUCAGGAUACAUAUUCACCCUCGCUGGGGGAGCUAUUUCGUGGAAAAGCUCCAAACAGUCGAUAGUUGCAUCAUCUACGAUGUAUGCAGAAUUCGUAGCAUGCUUCGAAGCCACGGGGCAGGCGAUAUGGCUAAAGAAAUUUGUACCCGACUUGAAAGUGGUAGAUUGUAUUCACAAACCACUAAAGAUGUACUGCGACAACCAGCCCGCGGUAUUUUACGCUCACAACAACAAGUCGAGUAAUGCUGCCAAAACAAUAGAGAUAAGGUAUUAUGUUGUGAAAGAUAAAAUCCAGGAUCAAACUAUAAGUCUCGAGCAUAUAAGGACAAAGGAUAUGCUUGCGGAUCCGCUAACGAAAGGCUUACCACCCAAUGUGUUCAAGGAACACUUAGCCGGCAUGGGUUUAAGGGAAAGCCUUAUGAUUCCUGGAUAGGCCCAAAAGGAACAGAAUUUGUUUCUGAACAUAACGUAUGUUGUAGCUGUAUGAUUCUAACGGCAAUUAAGUCGUGACGAUGAAACAUGCUCUAUGUACCAAUAUGUGAUGAAACAAAUAAACUAGAAAGUAUAAAGUUAAAAGUAAAGUUGAGAUCAAGGGGGAGAAUGUUAGGUUGAUCUCUCUCCCGUUCGAACCCAACGGGUCGAACGGGCCCUUGACUCGCGCCCUGAUCGGGGGCGCCCAACCAAACCAUGGUUGGUGGGCCCCUGUGACCCGCGCUAUAUAAACAGAGGUGGGGGCCGGGGCACGACUUACGAGGUUAAUCGCUGCCACAAUCCCCACCUACAAUCCCUACCGAUCUAGGGUUAGCGCGGUGCUCACGGGAAGUUCCACCACCUCGCCCACUCUCCGCCAUCGCCGUGCGCCCCAGCACCACGAUGGCCUCCGGCUCGAGUUCAUCUACUGCCGGACAAGGUAGGUUCACCGGAUCUACUAGCCUACUCCGAUCCAAAGAAUCUAUCACACCAGAGUGUAUCUUCGUGAACGCCCGCCCCAAGUUGGAGUGAUGUGUUCUUCACAUCCUUCAACGCGGUCGCCAUGGACGAGAAGUCGAGACCCUUCCGCGCGGCCGGUAUGGACCAGGGGUGGUUCUACCCGGAUGCCGCGCGGCCGCCGCCGACGAAGUCCUUCGUCGCGGCCGCCAUGGACACGAGGGCACCAGGAGGCAGGAGUUACGUAUCUGAUCUUUUUUUUCCUUGCAGCUGUUAUACGUAUCUGAUCGUGGAGCAAUGGAAACGUAAAAUGAAGGAGCGGGAUUGAGCAGCUGGGAUCGGAAACAGAGCGGCAGUGGGGUUGCGUGCUUUAAGAUUGGAGUUGGGAUGGACCCGAUCUCAGAAUUUAUUUUCCCAUCUUCUCCGCCUCCGCCUCCUCCUCCUCCGCUGCCUCCACCUCCGCCGAUGGCAGCCGCCACUCCAAGCAAAAGCAGCAAGGAGGUCAUGGCCUUCAACUAUCCCAGAUGCUCAUGCUGAUCCCGCGCUCUGUUAUCAGGGCUACGUUCAACUACGACCUCAGCGCUAUCGGCAAGAUUUUGAUGGCUAACGAUGGUCGUUCGGCCGCGGAACCAAUGGACUACGUAAGGAAGGUGCGCUCAAUUGCUUCUCGUGCCUCUUUAGCUUCUUUUCCUUUCCGAUUUUGAGCUUUCGUUCAACAGAUGUGCGUAUUUUGGAUCGGCUGAAAAUAGUUCAUAGAUCCCAUGAUCGGAGAUAUGUACGAGCUCUUUUAUGAUACCCUGUGUUACAUAUGGGCCGUCAAAUCGUAACAGUGAACGGUUGGGUAUAGCAUGCAUGCGCAGGUUUCUGUCGUGUCGAACUAGCCCACCCCGUCCUUGCCCUCCCAUUACCUUCCCCACCGCGUUCAGUAGGGAAAAAAACUAGGGUUCCGGCCAUGGCCGGCGUGCGCCUGCCAUCUAUGGUGGAUCAGGAGGCUGCCGAGCUAGGCCCCUCUUCCACUCCACCUACGCUGCGCUGCCCUCCCUCCUCUUCCUCCAUGCACGAGGCGCUCGAGGAGGACCCGACGCCACUGAUCCCUAGGGACGCUGUCGUGCUCCGGGACCGGCCGACGCUCACCCGCCAGUGCCCUCACCACGUCUUCUCCACGGAGGUCCCUGCCUGCGCCCUAGGCCGGAGCUGUGCGCCGACCUCCACUCCGGCAGCACGCGUCGCUUGAACCCGGCUUGGCCGCAUCACCGAUUUAAAGCAGCGCUUCUCGCUCACCGGGAACUAGACCGUCGCCGCCAGCCCCGGCGAGGACAGCUGGGCUGGCUAGGUGCAGGGCCUCGGAACCGACGUCUACUGCUCGUCUGCUACAGAGGCUGGUCAUGCUGGGCAGGCGAGGCCAUGGCGGCUGGCCGCCCUGCCCACUCUCUAGGAUUCCAGCCGCUGCCGACAUGCAAGGCAUCUUGAUUUUCCAUGUCAGUAUGUUUGUGACUUGUGUAUUGGCUCAAAGUUAAAUGACUACGAUUUUGAGAACUAGCAGAGCAUUGUUGAAAUAGAAAAUUACUCUCUCUGAUUGUUGUUCUAUAUGAGAAUUUCAUGCUUCUUAUAUGCUUGAGCCAAUUUGGUAGAUGUAAAAUUAGGUAAAUGGAAAGUUUGAUACAGUGAGUACAUUGCGAUUAAGUGUUUGUGCUUUUGUUUGACUUACAGUAUCUAAGAAGAAAGUAAAUAGGUAUUCACUGUAAUGUUCCAUUUGCCUCCGAAAUUCAAGACUUCAUGGCACACUUUUGCUACAGGAUGUGUAGGAUAAGGUAAAUGUUUUUUUUUUCUUUUUUUUGCUAUCUUGUGUUUCUUCCUAUAUGAUGAAAAUCUCUGCUUGGAGGGGAAAUGGUCAGUUGCCACUUUGAACCAUCUCAACUUGGAGGAUUGUAGAUUAUUAUGGGAGAUUGCCUAAAUUUGUCUCUGGACUACUGUAUUAUAGCAGGAUGCACAUGACCCUGAUAGAUUCAUACUAGACGUUAAUUACACAUUUAAUACAUAAACUUUCACUAGACGUACAGAUUCAUACAUAAACUUAAAAAUUGACACGAAUCGGCCAUACAACUUGUGUUUCGGGUAUGUUUGUUUGAGUGCAUUCCUUCAUUUGAGAAAAAGGGUUUCCCCCGCUUUGUAUUCCAAAGCACCGUCGGCACGCGGGAGGGCACAACCUCCACCGUCAACGACGGUAACCGACCGGACACACUAGCAGGAGCCUACCAGGCCCAUGUGCCCACAGGCCCGGCCGGGAACUCCAUUCCCGGAAAGCUCCUGCCAUCGCGCUGCAGCAGGCACGCCAUCGACAUCGCCGCCCCCCAUCCGAGCCGCUCCUCCUCCUCACCACACAGACGACGACGAAGCCACGCCAGGGACAGGCCCGCUAGGACCCAGAUGGGGCCGGGAGGGCCCAGAUCUGGGCCGGGGACGCGCCGCCGGCCACCGCACGCCACCACGCCGCCCUGCUGCCAAUGGCAGCACCGCCACCGCGCCUACCGCCGGCGACCGCUGCCGGGUCGCCGGGCCGCCGCCCAGCUGAGCAUCACCGCCNNNNNNNNNNNNNNNNNNNNNNNNNNNNNNNNNNNNNNNNNNNNNNNNNNNNNNNNNNNNNNNNNNNNNNNNNNNNNNNNNNNNNNNNNNNNNNNNNNNNNNNNNNNNNNNNNNNNNNNNNNNNNNNNNNNNNNNNNNNNNNNNNNNNNNNNNNNNNNNNNNNNNNNNNNNNNNNNNNNNNNNNNNNNNNNNNNNNNNNNNNNNNNNNNNNNNNNNNNNNNNNNNNNNNNNNNNNNNNNNNNNNNNNNNNNNNNNNNNNNNNNNNNNNNNNNNNNNNNNNNNNNNNNNNNNNNNNNNNNNNNNNNNNNNNNNNNNNNNNNNNNNNNNNNNNNNNNNNNNNNNNNNNNNNNNNNNNNNNNNNNNNNNNNNNNNNNNNNNNNNNNNNNNNNNNNNNNNNNNNNNNNNNNNNNNNNNNNNNNNNNNNNNNNNNNNNNNNNNNNNNNNNNNNNNNNNNNNNNNNNNNNNNNNNNNNNNNNNNNNNNNNNNNNNNNNNNNNNNNNNNNNNNNNNNNNNNNNNNNNNNNNNNNNNNNNNNNNNNNNNNNNNNNNNNNNNNNNNNNNNNNNNNNNNNNNNNNNNNNNNNNNNNNNNNNNNNNNNNNNNNNNNNNNNNNGGCGCGCGAGCCGGCGGCCGGCGGCGGCGGCGGAACCCUAGCGGGAGGGAGCGGACGGGAGCCUGCAUUCCUUCAUUUGCCGUUAACUCUCCGUUAAACUUUACACGCCGGCUGGUCGACGCUCCAUGUCUGCAUGUGGGUCUCACCUGUCUGUGGCAAAGGAAGAAAAUACAAACAUAAAAGUACAGUGCACUUAGACGGAACCGAAGUAAUGCCGUCCAGGCGCAAGCAACUGCAUUAAUACAAAGUUCCAUAAAACAUAUUCUAUAAUUUACAUAUUUUGUUAGGAAAAUUGAUUUGAAUGCUUUGCACGGCGUUUAUUUUUUCCUGGUUUACCGGAAGUUUUGGUGAGCCCCAAAUGUUCUUGUAUCGUUCAUAAAAACAUUUGUUAAAAAUUUGAAAGGUCAUAUAUUGUCAAACUGAGCUCGUAUGCCUGCAUUUUCACAUAACAACUAUCGUCUAGUGUUACGGCACGCGAACUAUCACCUCGAUUAUCCACAUUGAUUCCCCUGUUUUCAAAAACUGAACAUUUUUUUAUGCGUUAUGCAAUGCUUAUAGAAAAUAGAGGAGGUGCCUUAGGGAUGCCUCAAACUCGCACCCUUCAUGUAAAAACUAGGCGAGCUGGCCGCUAUAAAAGGCAAAAAGUUUGUUAUAUAUGGUGUUUAGCAUGUUAUAAAACUCACAUAUUUUCCUAAAAGAGUAUUAGUACCACCUGGUUAAAAUAAACUCCUAAAAUACAGAGGCAUAAAUUCCCCAUCUUCCUUCUUUUUCCAAGCGGCAAGCUGCAAUUUAAUUGCUGAAAUUAACUCGUAGAUUCCUCUUAUGUUCUCUCUUUGCAAUUUUGCAAAGCAUAGUUUUCAGCUGCUCCACCAUGCAAUUACACAUGUAUUCGUUUUAAUUGAUUAUCAUAAUAAACACAAAAUAAAUUUUAAAACUUUCUAAAUUUCAAUCACAACUUAAAAAAUAUGAGCGUAAAUUUUAAACUAAUCUUAAUCCAAAUUUUAUUCUAGAAAAACUAGCAAAUUCUGACAACUUUCAACUCUCUUCAUCCUUCAUUUGUGACUUUGAUUAUCUUCUAGUCCUCGUCGUUUUGCCAUCCUUUCAUGUUCAGUGGAGAUUCCACUAGGAGGACAGUGAGUUGUUUCCUGAACCCGGGGAUGUCGUCCUGCGUAAUAGGUUGACUUGGUCUCACAGUUGACAAUGUGAAUGGUGUGGUUAAAAUAAGUGUGGACAUCGUAAUGCUGUGUAGGCUCCAUCUAGGUUGUCACAUGUGAACUUUUCCAUGUUCUUUACCGAAAAAGCUCACAUGACAUAUUGCAAUCAUAUGGAUUCUUAUAAAUAUUUUUACUAAGAAUACUAAAUUUGUGGUUUUAAAUGUUGUGUACAGUACCUAUCUUUUUGUUGUGUUAUAUUUUGAUAACUUGAACUGUCCAAGUAUUGAUGCCGAAAUCCGGCCAAGUAUCGACUUUUCGGCAACCAUGCCGAUAUGCUACUUCCAUAUGGAGUUGCAUGAGCUGUAAUAAGUUAAGAAGUAUAAGACAUAUAAUAUGAAAAUUAACUCUCGGUAUGUAUGUACUAAGCAUUGAAAAAACUUAUCAUGUUUUCUAGUUCCGGGUGGGCUUUCUUAAACUGUUUUGUUGUUGAUGGCAUCAAAUAUACAACUUGCACUGCCCUUUUUUUGGCAUUGACAAUCGCCAUGUACCUAUGCAUUUCUUCAUAUUCAUAGGAAGAGAAACCUGCAUUUAAGACAUAAUUAGUUUUGUACCAUUUAGAAAUUGACUUAGACUAGUGUGACUUACCAUAUCAUGGGAAAGGUACUUUUCGCCAUGAAUACUACCAUAUGUUUUGUUCUGUAGAUCACGGGUACAAUUUGGAAAGCUUCCUUCUCUGACUAGCACACCACUAACUGAUGCUCUCUCUAGAUAGAUCAUCCCGUCGGCCCGACAUCUGGAUUGGGGCGCAUGUGACGUACCCAUGUUAUGGCCGCAUCCAAGAUUUGAAUCGCAAAGCAGUAAGGAAUCAAAAUAGAAAAUAACAAUUUGUUAAUUAUUUAAGAAGUUAGCACAUAUCUUGCAUUACAGUCAUCCGUUCGUACUACUUUUAAAGCGUGGAGCUGUCAAGCAUCUAAGAUCAGCGCGAUAGAGAUGAAUUUCAUCCAUUUCUACCAACACUUUUGAAGACGGGGAUGUAUUGACAUAGUCAAUGACCUCUUCAACUAUCUUCUCAUCUGGAGCAUCAUCCGUUCCCAUUCUGGGAGUACUCACGUCUUUUGGAGUUAUCUUGCCUCAUUUAGUUCUCUUGGUUCAUCAAAAUAAACAUAAUCCUUGUUAUCUGUAAAAGUGGAUUUCCUUUUUCUCUUCUUCUCUCCCGUCACCGUAGACCCUCCUGUUGCCUGCGUGUCCGAGGGAGGAGUUUUUUUAAUAGUGACUCACAUAAUUAAUGUACUUACUUGAGCACCCUGCAAGUCAUAGGGAGGAGCUUGUAAAAUGAGAAAAAUAAAUCACAUGAUUAACAUAGUUACUAAAUUACAUCAAAGUCUGAGGCCAGGUGACGCCCACGAAGGGGCGAGGUAACAAAUUUGUCGCUGUUGUUGUACUCAUAUUCUGGUCGGCUCCAAUAGUCCUGCAUAGGUGUCUGGUUGUUAUUACUUUAUAUAUAGGAAGGAAAGAGUGAUUAAGUGCGUGUUUGGAUGGUAGGGUACUUACAUUGGCGUUCAGGUUGGCGUAUAGCCAGUUUCGUCAUAUCUGCAUUUUCAUUCUCUAGGUACCUGAAUUUAUGCGCGCAACAUUUUCCUUCUCUAGGUGUACAGAUUCGCGUACAAAUGUUGCGCAAAUUCAGGCACCUAGAGAAGGAAAAUGCAAAUACGAGGAAACUGGCUAUACGCCAACCUGAACGCCAAUGUAAGUACCCUAUCAUCCAAACACGCACUUAAUCACUCUUUCCUUCCUAUGUAUAAAAUAAUGACAACCAGGCACCUACUAUUGGAGCUGACCAAAAUAUGAGCACAACAACACUGACAAAUUUGUUACCUCGCCACUUCAUGGGCGUGACUUGACCUCAUACGUUGAUCUAAUAUAGUAACUAUGUUAAUUACGUGAGUUAUUUUUCUCAUUUUACAAGCUCCUCUCUACGACUUGCAGGCUGCUCCGGAUGACACCACUAGUGAGCAAAAGGAGUUUGACAAAGACGAUGCCCGAAAAUUAGAUGUAACUAAGUACAUUAAUUAUGUGAGUCACUAGUUCAAAAACAACUCCUCCCUCGGACACGCAGACAACAUGAGGGUAUACAGCGGGACAGAAGAAGAGAAAAAGGAAAUCCACUUUUGCAAAGAAUAAGGAUUUUGUUUAUUUUGAUGAACCCAACAGAACUAAAUGAGGCAAGAUAACUCGAAAAGACGUGAGUACUCCCAGAACGGGAAUGAAUGAUGCUCCAGAUGAGAAGAUAAUUAAAGAGGUCAUUGACUAUGUCAAUACAUCCCUGUCAUCGAAAGUGUUGGUAGAAAUUGAUGAAAUUCAUCUCUAUCGCGCUGAUAUUUAGAUGCUUGACAGCUCCAAACUUUAAAAGUAGUACCGAAGGAUGGCUGCAAUGCAAGGUAUGUGCUAACUUCUUAAAUAAUUAAAACAAAUUAUUUUCUAUUUAGAUUCCUUACUGCUUUGCAAUUUUGAUCUUGGAUGCACCCAUAACAUGGGUAUGUCACAUGCGCCCCAAUCCAGAUGUACAGGCCAACGGGAAGAUCUACCUAGAGAGAGCAUCACUUAGUGGUGUGCUAGUCAAAGAAGGAAGCGUUCCAACUUGUACCCGUGAUCUACAGAACAAAAUAUAUGCUAGUAUUCAUGGCGAAAAGUAUCUUUCCCAAGAUAUGGUAAGUCACACUAGUCUAAGUCAAUUUCUAAAUGGUACAAAACUAAUUGUGUCUAAAAUGCAGGUUUCUCUUCCUGUGAAUAUGAAGAAUAUGCAUUGAUGCGUGGCGGUUGUCAAUGCCAAAAAAGGGCAGUGCAAGUUCUGGAUUCAAUGCCAUUAACAACAAUACAGUUUAAGAAAGCUCAUCCGGAACUAGAAAACAUGGUACCUUUUUAUGCUUAGUACAUACAUACAGAGAGUUAAUAUUCCGGAAAUUCGAUAUGGCUCAUAUGAAUGCGGCAAUAGAGGUCUGGUCCUGGACGGCAUAGGAAGCAUUUUCUCCACCACAAGAUGAUUAGCAGUUGGACGUCCAUCACUCAAUUAAUAGAUGAUGUAACAAGUCGUUUCUUACAAGCCAACGCUCUCAUUUGCACGUCAUCACUUGCUGCUUUGGACUGUGUAGUAAUGACCGAGGCCCUGAAUCGGAAAAUUAAUUACCAAAGAAAUUUGGAGGUCUGAACAGUAAACACAAACUGCCGUGGCUGGAAACCUAGACACUUGUUCUCAGUUAAAGGAAUUUUUUCCUUUGUCCUUUUCUGCUUAUGAAGAAAUGUAGCAGUUUUAGCAACUUUUAGCCUUUUGCAAAUGAACUUUCGAAGUACUAAAUAAUAAAUAGGUAAGCCCUUUGCAGUUUUCAGUGUUAUACAUUCAUGUUUUCUUUUACUAGGAAGUGAGGUUCUAUUGAUGCUGGUGUUCUUUGUUUUUUAAUUAUGUGGUUGAUGCACUGAUGUAAUCUGUCUGAAUUUUGAAAUUUGUUUAUUAUUAUUAUAAAAACUGUACUGCACGUCUGCCCCAGUGUAAGACUCAAUAAAACAAAUAAUGGAGGAUACAACUCCUCAACAUUAAACCAGGUUAGGACAUGAAACAUCAUCCCUGAUACUAACUCAAAUUGCACGCUGGAAGUACUGCACUGUACUAGCAUUCAUAGUUCAUGGUGUACAAUACAUUUAAUAAAUAAUUCGCUGCUUCUGUCGGAACGCCGUUUCCGGAAGGUGGGCCUGCCACGCCCUGCCGCGCGGCUGUACAUACGGCAUGCAUACAGUUGCCACCUGAUAUACGGCAAUUUCCGCCGGUCGCACAUUUUUCAUUCAAUGCGCUUCCCACCCAGCGGUCCAGAUAAUAAUACCAUAUGCAAGUAUGACCCAUAUCUUCGCCCUUAAUAUUCAAAUUAUAUGUCUUAUACUUCUUAAUUAUUAUAGCUCAAAGGCAUGCAACUCCAUAUGGAAGUAGCUAAUCGGCAUGGUUGCCGAAAAGUCGAUACUUGGCAGGAUUUUGACAUCAACACUUGGACAGUUCAAGUUAUCAAAAGUAUAUCACAACAAAAAGAUGGGUACUGUACUGUAUACAACAUUUAAAACCACACAUUCAGUAUUCGUAGUAAAAAUAUUUACAACAAUCCAUAUGAUUGCAGCAUGUCAUGUGGGCUUUUUUGGCUAAAGAACAAGGAAAAGUUUACAGUUUCCAAUCUAGAUGGAACCUACACAGGAGUAAAUAGCAAAAAACUACCACAUUACGGGCUACGGCUAAGAAAAACUACCACUUUUUUUAUUUUUUAAAAAUGCUAUCACUAUUUUGGUUGGCUGUUCUAAAAAACACUAGUGAUAUAUAGUUAGUAUUUAAUCAUGUUUAUGACAGCUGGCCCCACCUAUAAACAGUAACCACUAACACUGUGAGCGUUGACUGUUAGAUUGGACCAGAGGAGGCCCACCUGCCAGCAUAUUUAUAUGUAUCUAACUAAAAAAAUACCAGCUGCCCACCUCGCGCCAGGCCGGCGAGCUGGAGCUUCGCCGCACGCCCGCAGUGCCACACCCCCCAGCUCUCCCUUCCUUGGCACCCCGCUCACCUGAGCACACCUGUGACGUGCCUGCUGCAGCGGUCAUCUUCGUCGCGGAGCCGCACCUCUCCUCUGUCCCGCGCGCAUGGCGUUGGCGGCCAUGCUCGGCCCUGUCCCGCUCCUGGAACUCUUCGAUGCGUGUCUUGAAGGUUGCCGCCAAGGUUAAACGACGAGCCCCAUGGGAAGAGACGCGGCUGUGCAUCUCCAACGCCCUAGCCGUGGCCUCCGCCCUCUUGGCGGCCAUGCUCGGCCCUGCACCGCGGCCUCGGCCCUUUCUCUAUAUUUUUCUCCACCGAGGCCAAAACCUGUCCCGCUCCUGGAACUCUUCGAUGCGUCGUUGCUUCGGCGGAGCUUGUCUCUAUAUUUUUCUCCUCUGUCCCGCGCGCAUGGCCGUCGUUUGUCGUUGAUGUGGCUGGAGACAACCACGAGCUUCAGCAUCAUGUGCAUCCGCCUCGCCCUGUCUCCCUCUCACUCCUGCUCCAUUAACUGAACAAGGGACACGCCAUAGCCGUCGGCAGCGACCUUGUUCUCCAACCUCGGUCAUGGCGCACCACCAUCAAAUUAGCCACCGGCAGACUCCUUCGGUCCUCAUCCUAGACACCAUCUGGUCCGCAGCGUCAACGCCGACCUCCUGGACAUCCCAGCGUCAAGCUCCGCCUCCUCCUGCGCCCUCGCCGACAAGCUCCGAGCCCCGGUGGUCGUCGUUGUUUCUCAACUCGCCGUUCCAUGCUAACUCGCCUUGUCCGAGCACGCGCACCGGCUUGUGGUGUGUCUUCUCUGGUCCGCUCGCAACCCGUAGCGCUGCAGCCUUCAAGCACAUCACGGCGUCUGCAGCAGGAGGCCGACGCCGAGCCCCUCAAGGUGCCAGCACGCACGGGCACCGGAAGCCCGGGUCCGAGCUCGCGGGCACGCUGCCCGCCGCCGCCCUUGCCCCAGUUGGCCGUUGCCGAGAGGAAGCCGUCAGCCUUCCAUGGAUCACGAUUCAUGAGAGCCGCCGGGGAGGAGACGGGCGCCGCGACCCAGAUCCCGUGUCGUGCUGACUUAACGGCUUGACUAGUGGAGAUGACUUUUUUUUUGCCACGUGGCACUGAUGUGUGGGACCUCCCUGUCAUAAUUAUGAUUAAAUUUUAACUAUACAGUCACUAGUGUGUUUUGGAACAGCCAACCAAAAUAGUGGUAGCAUUUUGAAAAAUUAAAAAAAAUGGUAGUUUUUCGUAACCAUAGCCCGUAAUGUGGUAGUUUUUUGCUAUUUACUCCCUACACAGCAGUACAAUGUCCACACUUAUUUUAACCACACCAUUCUCAUUGUUACAGUUGUGAGACUAAAUCAACCUAUUAUGCAGGACAACAUCCCUGGGUUCAGGAAACAACUCACUGCCCUCCUAGUGGAGUCUCCACUGAACAUGAAAAGGACGGCGAAACGAUGAGGACUAGAAGAGAGUCAAAGUCAUGAAUGAAGGAUGAAGAGAGUUGAAAGUUGUCAGAAUUUGCUAGUUUUUCUAGAAUAAAACUUGGAUUAAGAUUCGUUCAAACUUUACGCUCAUACUUUUUAAGUUGUGAUUGAACUUUAGAAAGUUUUACAAUUUAUUUUGUGUUUCUUAUGAGAAUCAAUUGAAAUAAAUACGUGCUUAAUUGCAUGGUGGAGCAGCUAAAAACUAUGCUUUGCAAAAUUGCAAAGAGAGAAGAUAAGAGGAAUCUACGAGUUAAUUUCAGCAAUUAAAUUGCAAGUUGCCCCUUGGAAAAAACAAGGAACAUGGGGAAUUUAUGCCUCUGUUUUUUAGGAGUUUAUUCUAACCAGGUGGUACUAAUACUAUUUAAGGAAGAUAUGUGAGUAUUAUAACAUACUAAACAUCAUAUAUAACAAACUUUGUGCCUUGUUAUAGCGGCCAGCUCGCCUACUUUUUAUAAGCAUCCCUAAUGCACCUCCUUUAUUUUUUUAUAAGCAUUGCAUAACACGUAAAAAAAAA
rnacentral:lncRNA from 1 species